rnacentral:lncRNA from 1 species
GCCAGGGAGAGCACACAGUUGGAAGGACACUCUGAGAAGCUGCUUGGGUGGAGGAGUGGGCGGUGGGGGUCACACCACUGAGGAUAACAGCAGAUGCUCAAGUGACAAAGACAGGGAACCGACUACAUUGAGAAGAGACAGACUUUUGUUUAAUUGGGGGGAUGUGCACAUUGGAGGCCAAAGUGCAAUUGCUCAGGAUAUUGAAAGGGAGACAGAGACUAAAAGGUGGAAGGACGGGGAGGAGCAGCCACAGUGGGAGCACAGGAGAAAAGAAGAAAGGCCAAGGUCUGUCAAGUAAGGGUUUUUUUUUUUUUUUUGGUUUUUUCCAUAUGUGUUUUUUGUCUAUGCAUGCAUACAUGUGUGUAUUUUUUUGGGGGGGGUGGGGAGUACUGGGAAUUGAACCCAAGUACACUUAACCACUGAGUCACAUCCCCAGUCCUUUUUAUUUUUAUUUUUUUCUAUUUAGAGAUAGGAUCUCACUUAAUUGCUUAGGGCCUCACUAAGUUGCUGAGGCUGGCCUCGAACUUUGUAACCAUUCUGCCUCAGCCUCCUGAGUCACUGGGAUUACAGGAGUGCACCACCAUACCUGGCUCCAUAUUUUUUUUUUUUUGAUGCAUUAUACUUGUACAUAAUGGUAGGAUUUCCUCUUCCAUAUUUAUACAUACACAUAAUUCAACAGUAUAAUUUGGCAAAUACCAUUCACCAAUAUUUCCCCUUUCCCUCUCCUCCUCCCUCCCCCAGUCCCUUUCCUCUAUUCCACUGAUCUCCCUUUAAAUUUCAUGAGAUCUUCCCACCCACCCCCAUCCCUUUUUUUUCUUUUCCCCACCCCCAUCUUUAUUUUCCUUUUUCAUCUCUAGCUUCUACAUAUAAGAGAAAACAUAACCCUUUCUGAGUUUGGCUUAUCUCACUUAACAUAUUAUUUCCUGCAACUAACAUAAUUUCAUUCUUCUUUAUGGCUGAAUAAAACUCCAUUGUGUAUACAUAACCAUAAUUUUUUUUAUCCAUUAAUCUGUUAGGGACAUCUUGGCUGGUUCCAUAGUUUGGCUAUUGUGAAUUGUGCUGCUAUAAACAUGGGCAUGCAUAUAUCACUACAGUGUACUGGCUUUAAUUCUUUAGGAUAAAUACCAAGGAGUGGUAUUGCUGGGUCGUGUGGUGGUUCCAUUCCUACCUUUUUUUUUUUUUUAACACUGGGGAUUGGACUCAGGGACUCUCGACCACUGAGCCACAUCCCCAGCCCUAUUUUGUAUUUUAUUUAGAGACAGGGUCUCACUGAGUUGCUUCUCACCUCACUCUUGCUGAAGCUGGCUUUGAACCCUCGAUCCUACUGCCCCAGCCUCCCAAGCCGUUGGGAGCUCAUUUCCAGCCUUUUGAGGAAACUUCUUAUUGAUUUCUAUAGUGGUUGCACUAAUGUACAAUCCCACCAACAGUGUAGAAGUAUUGCUUUUCCUCCACAUCCUCUCCAGCAUUUAUUAUUGUUCCUAUUCUUGAAGGCUGUCAUUCUGACUGAAGUGAGAUGAAAUCUCAGUAUAGUGUUGAUUAGGCAAAGAGAUUUUAAAGGAGAGUAUAACUGUCUAGUGAGAAUUGGCUCUCCUGCCCAGUACUGGAAAGAGCAUCGUUCCAACAUGAAUAACAAGAGAAAAAAAAUGGACAACUUACAAAAUCCCUAACUUUUCUUGUAUUUUUCAGGGACCUGAGGUCAUAGUGCAAUAGAAAUCAGGCACCUCCAGGCAGAGAAGGGUCACUAAGCACAGGCUCACCUGCAACAGAGUGGGAAAGGAAAAAUGUGAAGCACCAACCACUCAAGCAGGUAAGAAUUCAAUUAAAGUGCUUAACAUAUUGCCAAAAGCCUUGAGCCACUGGGGAAAGACAGCAGAUCCUGUCAUUUCUAGGACACAGGUAUAAGAACAUUAUACUAGGGAAGAGAAAAAAAGAGAACAAAACAAAAUUGUCUACCUUAGAAUAAAGGCAGAAAACCAACCAGGUCACCAGAGGUCUUUGGCAGCAGGGAGAGGGGCAGGAUCCCCAAGCUGUGGGGACACAGGGACACAGGCCUGCCUGAGACUGGGUUAGACCAGGACAACGGAGCAGAAGGAACAAUGGAAGUUUACCACCAGUGGAGAAGGGGGGGUGGGGAUAGACCCACUCCAAGGCCAGGCCAAAAGGGAAGGCUGAAAGCUGAGGGUGGAGCAGGUACAUUGAGGAAAACCUCUCAAAUACCCAGUACCCACCCUAAACACAGCAGUGGAAAAGAUAUGCCCACUAAAGGCAUCGGAAUGAUUUACCUCAGUCUCUACUGUUCUACAAUAGGAUGACUGUCAUUCAAUUAAAAAAUAUAUAGCUAUAUUUUUAAUUAUAUAUUUUUAAUAUAUGGUAUUGUAUAUUACAUACAUUACAGUCAAGAACAAAACAGGAAAUAACUGACCUAAUCUCAAGAGAUAGUAAUCAACAGAUUCAGAGAUGACCCAGAUGUUGGAAUUAUCAGACAAGAAAUUUAAAAAUCUAUGAUUACUAUGUUAAAUGCUCUAGUGGAAAAGAUGGGUGAUAUGCAUGAACACAUGGAAAAUUUCAGCAGAGAAAUGGAAACUAUAAGAAAGAGCCAAAUGCAAAUGCUGGAAGUAAGAAAGAGAAGAAUGUAUACAAUAGGCCUGUCAGUAGACUUGCCAUGGCCAAGGGAAGAACCAGUGAACUUGAAGAUAGGUUAAUAGAAACUACCCAAAUGGAAACACAAAGAAAAACAGGCUGAACGGUUUAAAAGAACAUAUAGCAUCCAAGAGCUGUGGGACAAUAUCAAAUAGUUCAAUAUACUUGUCCAAAAGAGAGAAAGAACAAGAAAUAAGUAAUAUUUGAAGAGGUAAUGGCUUGAGAAUUUUGUGAGAAUUGGCUCUCCUGCCCAAUACUGGAAAGAACAUCGUUCCAACAUGAAUAACAAGAGAAAAAAAUGAACAACUUAAAAAUCCCUAACUUUUCUUGUAUUUGUCAGGGACCUGAGGUUAUAGUGCAAUAGAAAUCAGGCACCUCCAGGCAGAGAAGGGGCACUUAUCAAAUCAUAGAUCCAGGAAUAUCAGAGAAUCCCAGGAAACAUAAAAAAAAAAAGAAUAGACCUAGUCCACACCAAUUGUGAUGGGCUUCCGUUCAAACCUCUAGAAACUAAAGAUAAAGAGAACAUCUUGAAGAUAGCUUUGUAUACAAAGGAAUAAAAAUAAGAACUACAACAGAUUACAGUCUCAUCAGAGACAGCUUCAGCCAGAAGAGAAUGAAUUAAUAUUGGGAAGAAAAGGGUUCGGGAUAUAGCUCUUUUGCGAGAGUGCUUGCCUCGUAUGCACAAGGCCUUGGAUUCAAUCUCCAGCACCACAAAAAAAAAGAAGAAGAAAAUGGGAAGGAGGGGCUGGGGAUGUGGCUCAAAUGGUAGCGCACUCGCUUAGCAUGCAUGAGGCACUGGGUUCGAUUCUCAGCACCACAUAAAAAUAAAAUAAAGAUAUUGUGUCCACCUAAAAGUAAAAAAUAAAUAUUAAAAAAAAAGAAAGAAAAUGGGAAGGAGACGGUCAUCCCAGAACUCUAUACAUAGUGGCAUAUUUUUUUAAAAAAUUAAGGAAAAAUAUUUAAAUGUUUUAUAAAAACAAAAUGGAGAGAGUAAAUAUCAGUAGAUUUCUCUGAUAUGAAAUGUUAAAGGGAGAUCUCCAGACAGAAGGACUAUGAUAGCAGAAGAAAUUGGUAUGUACACAGAGAAAUCUAAAUUUCCAGAAAAAAAGUAAAGUCCAAAAUACAAGAUUAUUUUCUUAUUUUCAGUCAUUCUCAAAGAUCAUUGACUAUCUAAAGCAGAUAUAGUAGCAAAGUGUAAGGUUUAUGGCAGCAAAAUGAACGACAAGAGUCUAAAAGUCAGAAUGGAGAAAUUGGCAUUAUAGUGUUAUAAGGGGCUUACGCCAUGGCUAAAAUGGUAUUAUUUGGAAAUAAGUUGUGGUUAGUUAAAUAUGUAGGAGUUAAACCCUAGAGUAACAUAAAAAAAAUUUGGGGAAUAUUGGUCAUGCCUGUAAUCCUAGCAGCUCAGGAAGCUGAGGCAGGAGGAUCACAAGUUCAAAGCCAGCCUCAGCAACUUAGUGAGACCCUAAGCAAUUUAGUGAGAACUUGUCUCAAAACAAAAAGUAACAAGGGCUGGGGCUCUGUGGUUAAACACCCCUGGGUUCCAUCCUGGAGUCCACCCCACUCCCCUCAAAUUUAAGGCCUAAAUAAUAAUCUAGACGUGAAGACAAAAAAUAAAUAAAUUCUCAAUUAAUCCAAAAGCAGGAAGAAAAAGUGGGAAAAUGACCAAGUACCUGUAGAACAGAACACAACUAGCAAGACUUUAAAUUUAGAUCCAUCUAAACAGUUUAAACAAUCAGUUCAAAAGAAAGAGAGAUUGUCACAUUGAAUAAAAUAGCAAAGGAUUCAAUGCUGUCUACAAGAAACCCACUUUAAGCCAGACACAGUAAUGCAUGCUUGUAAUCCCAGCAAUUUGGGAGGCCGAGGUAGGAGGAUUGCAAGUUCAAGGCCAGUCUAGGUAACUUCACAAGAUCCUGCCUCAAAUUUUUAAAAUAAAAUUUAAAAAAAAGACUGAGGAUGAAGUUCAGUGGCAAAGUGCCCCUGAGUUCAACCCCCAGUACCAAAAAAAAAAAAGAAAGAAAGAAACUCACUUAAAACUAUAAAUAUAUACAUAUAUAGGUUAAAAGUAAAAGAUGGAAAAAACAUACCAUGAAAACACUAAUCACAUAAACUAUAAGCCUGGCAUGGUGGCUUAGUAUCAGGCACAGCCGACUUCAAUACAAGAAAUAUUACUAAAGUUAAAGAAGGAUGUUACUUAGUGAGAAAGGGUCCAUUCACCAAGCAGACACAAAAAUCCUAAAUUUGUAGCACUUAAUAACAGAACUUCCUUAUACGUGAGACAACAACUGAUGGAACUAAAAGGAAAAAUAAACAAAUCCCCAAGUAUAGUUGGAGACUAUAAUUAAGUUAUAAAAUAAAUAGAAAAAAACCAGUAAGAAUGUAAAAGACUUAACAUCACUAUCAAUGAACUUGAACUAAUUGAAUUUGUGUGGGGGUUCAAUGUGUGUGGGUGUGGGUGUGUUACUGAGGAUUGAACCCAGAGGCUGGCCUGGAACUUGGGAUCCUCCUGCUUCAAACUCCCAAAUUGCUGGGCUUACAGGCAUGAGCCACCACGCUGACAGACCUAACUGAAUUUAUAGAACAUUCCAUCGAAUGUGUGCAUAUGAAGCAUCCACCAAGAUGGACUGCAUUUUGAGAUGUGAAACAAGCCUCAACACUCUGAAAAGAAUUGAAAGUAUAUGAAGUUUGUUCUUACCAAAAUGGAGUUAAACUAGAAAUUGAUAACAAAAAAGAUACCUGGACAAUCCCCCAAAUAUUUGCAAAUUAAAUGACUUAUGGGAAUAUUUAUUAGAUCAUUGUUUCUAUAUGAGAUAUAACCCCCUUCUCUGCUAUCUUACAAAGAUCCUUAGCAAAAUCCAUAUAUACCUUACUAAUGCUUUAUUCCAGGGACUGGCAAACUAUGACCAUGGACAAAUUUGGCCCUUGGUCACUUUGUGUUUGGCCUGCAAGCCAAAAGAGCAUUUGCAAUUGUGAGGCUUAUAAAGGUGAAGAAGGAGCAGCUUAAGCCUGAAAUAUUUGUCAACCCAGCUUUUUUUUUUAAAUAUUUUAUUAGUUGUUGAUGGACCUUUAUUUAUUUAUAUGUGAUGCUGAGAAUCGAACCCAGUGCCUCACAAAUGCUAGGCAAGCACUCUACCACUGAGCCACAACCCCAGUCCCAGCCAACCCAACCUUAACCUUAUAAAAUGAGAGUUAGAAGUGUUUCUUCCUCUAUGUCCAGCAAAAGGUUGUGACACAUUGGCACCGUUUCUUCUUUAGAUGUGUGAUAAAUUGAUAAAUUUUACUAGGAAGACCUGGACUUCCUUUAUAGGAGGUCUUAAAUGUAAUUUUUUUUUUUGUACCCCCGGGCGCAUUACCACUGAACCACAUCGCCAGCCAUUUUUAUUUUUUAUUUUGAGAUAGAAUCUUGCUAAAUUGUUGAGGCUGGCCUUGAACUUUCAAUUCCCCUGCCUCAGCCUCCCAAGUUGCUGGGAUUACAAGCAUGUACCACUAUGCCCAGCAUUAGUGUUUUAUCUUUGUUCUUGUUUUUUAUAUAAGUAAUGGAGUUGUUUUUUCUGCCUGUUCUUAACUAUUUUUCUCUUUUUCAUUAGGUUUUAGCAAUUUUAUAUAAUGCCUUGGUGUGGUAUUUUUUGUGUUUAUAUAGCUUGGGAUUUCUUGGAUAUUUGAGUUUAUAGCUUCUGUCAAAUUUGAAAUUUUUUAAGAUUUUUUUUUCUGAUAUGUUUCUGCCACAUUCACUCUCGUUUCUUUCUGGAACUCUACACAUUUGUUAGACUGCUAAUAUUAUCCCACAGGUCAGUGAGUUGGGAGUUUCAGUUUGGAUAGGAUCUUUUGCUAUGUGCAUGUUUAUAGAUAUUUUCUUCUGCAACAUCAAUCAAUGUACUAUUGAGCCCACUUGAUAAAUAUUUCACUUUGGAUAUUGUAUACUUUAGUUCUAGAAAAAAUAUAACACUUUCUUUUUUAGAUUCUAUAUUUCUCAUUAUGUUUGUGUUCUCCCUUAAGUCCUGAACAUCUUUAUAAUAGCUCUUUAAAAAAAGGUUUAUACUAAUUCAGGAGUAGACAUUUAUAGACCUGGUUGUUGUAAUUGAUAUUCUACUGGUACAGGUUGUUUUCCUGCUUCUUAACAUGCUUAGUAAUUUCUCACCAAAUACAGGUGGAGUGUUAAAUCAUUACAUGUCUGAAUUUUGUCUUUCUUGAAGAAUGCUGAUAUUGAGGGUAGAGGGUCAGAUAGUUGAGUUACUUCAGAGAAGCUAAAUGCUUCUUCCAAGGCUGUUUCCAUGCUUUUUAGGGUGGAUCUAGAGCAGUGGUUCUAAGUCAGGAGUGAUUUUGGCCCCAUUCCCCCCACCCUAAGGAUAUUGGCAAUGUUUGGAGAUAUUUUUGGUUUGUCAAGCCAGGAAGGUGCUACUAGCAUCUAAUGGGUGAGUUCAAGGUUGCUGCUUCAAUGCCCAGAACAGCCCUCCACAUCAAAUACCUACACACGCGCACCACACUAAUACUAACAGUGUCAAGGUGGAGAAACCCUGAUGUAGAGGACCUUUUCGUAAGACCAGUUUUACCCAGUGCAGUGAACUGAAUGUUUGUGACCCAAAAAUAUUCAUGUGUUGAAAUCCUACCUCCCAAUGCAAUGGUACUAGAAUGUGGGGAAUUUGGAAAGUAACAAGGUCAUGAGGGUAGGGCCCUUGUGAGUGGGAUCAGUGCCCUUAUAAAUAGACCCUGGAGAGUUCUCCAGCCCUCUUUCUGCCCAGUGACCAUACAAGAAGAAUGCAGGUUGCAACCCAGAAGAAGGUCCUAACAGACCACAGCCAUGCUGGCACCCUGAUCUCAGACCUUCAGCCUCUAGAACCAUGACAAGUGAAUUUUGAUUGUUUAUAAGCCACCCAGUCCUGAUACUUUGUUGUAGCCACCUGCCCUGACCAAGGUAUCCUAAUACUAAGAUUUCUACAUAUUCAACUGUGUCUCUCCAUUCCUCUCUGGCCCGUUGGAACUUGAACAUCCUCCAAAUUAAUGUGAGCUCUGGAAGCUGUCUGGCUUCCGGUUUCCUGGUAAUUGUUUUUCCAGUAGUUGUCCUUCUCCUUAGUGGAGUCUUACCCAACACAUGCACAUUUCACUAUUUGGCCAAAAUCAAGGGAACCCCAUGAAAGCUUCUAAGAGCUCCUUUUCUGCCUCACUUCCUUUUCUCCAGUGUUCUGUGCACAAAUUGCAGCCACCUCCAAACUCUAACACUUCCACUACGUGAGGAUUCCAGGUGUGCUGGGUUCCUGCUUCCCUAUGAUUGUUCCAUAAGGCGACUCCAGGCAGAAAGCCCAGGUGAGCAAAGGGUUCUCCAUGAAUCGCUCCCAUUUCUGCAGGUCUCAUAGAGGCCAAGGCACUGGUUUGUUCCUGACUAUCUUUUCAAGGACGUUUACAUAACAAACAGCCUUGAAAGAUAGAGAUAGUGUCUCCCAGUGGAACAAAGGGCAGGUUUGUGUACUGUCCAGAGUUCUAAAGAUAAUGCUUCCAGGAUGAAGGUCAAAUGGGCUAACUGCCCAUGGUGAAUAAUUCUCAUUCUCUAAGUUCAUGGUUCCUUGUCCAUAAUGCAGCUCACUCCAUGUCCACAUGUCAUUUGGACCUUUUCACAUUCCCCCAGUGGGAAAUGGAAAUUAAGUAAUGAGUACAGACGCCUAUACUCUGGCCACUGCUAUUGCUGUGUGUAAUAAAGUCUUUGUCUCUGAGCUAGGAAUCUUUUGUCUUCUGCCAACAUCCAUGAAAUAGUAGCAAGCUGAUUUGUUAGCUUGCAAGUAGGGUAAACUCACAGACUCCUUCAAGAUUGGCAAUCUAUUAUGCUCUAGGCUCUGGUCAUAAGAUUUGAACUCCCCAACACACACACCCUACAUAUAUGUAUGUGUGUGUGUACACACACACACACAUCAUGUCCUUCUGAAGUCUACAGUCUGGCAUGAGAAACAAAGAUUUUAAAAGACAAACACAAUUUUAAUGUCAACAAUAUCAAGAAAAAAUACAAGAAUUAGAGAAUGACAAGGGGGUAAUUAUAAAUUGAAAGGUUAAGGGAAGCCUGUGUGAACAGGACACAUUUAAACUGAACCUGAAAAAUGAGGCACCAGAAAAAGGAAGCACCUUCCAAGUAAUAGGAACAGCAUCUUCAAAGGUACUGAGGCAGCAGAGAGAUUGGCACAUUUGAAGAACUGAAAGAAGAUCAGCAUUGUUGAAGCAGUGAGUCAUAGGCAGGUUAGUGCUUGGUGAGAAUGGAAUAAUAAGCAAGGUGUGAAUCAAAGCUUCUCAAAUCUGGCUCUUUUAGAAUCUACUCCAGGAACUUGUUUAAAUUAUCAGUGCCCAGACCCAUCCCAGACCAAUUAAAUCAGAAUGCUUAGGGUGAAGCUCAACCUCUGAUCAUUUUUUAAAAAAUAUUUCUGGAUGACUCUAAUGUGCAGCCAAAAUUGAGAACCACUUGUAGAUGGACCUUGUAGAUCCUUGUAAGAGUGUGGAUUUCAUUGAGGAGUUUAGAUUUGAGUUAAAGUGUAAUAAAGAGUCACAAAAGAGAUUUAAGUAUGGCUUAUUUUUAAAAGGACCUCUCUGGCUGCAGUGAAAAGCAUAGAUUAAAGGUCAGUGUUGGGAACAAGGAAAUGAGUUGGGAAAUUACUAAGAUUAUGUAGGCAAGAGACAGUGGAGGCAUGGACUAGGGCGUGACUGUGAGAAGAGAACACUGGAAAACAAAAUUGGAUGAGUAGAGUGGGGCCAGAUAUACGAACACCAGGUUAAGGAAAUUUGACUUUAUCCUUUGAGUACUGAGAACAGAGGGGCAGGGCUGCGGCUAUAGUUCAGUUGGUAGAGUGAAUGCCUUACAUGCACAAGGCCCUGGGUAUGAUCCCUAGCACCAAAGAGAGAGAGAGACAGAGAGAGAAAGAGAGAGAGAGCAAGCAGAGGGGUAUUUGAGAUUAUGAGUUAGGAGAACAGUUAGAUGCAUGUAACAAAAACGUAACUUGUAGGGGCUUAAACAAAGAGGUUUAUUUUUCUCACUUAAACAAGGAAUCUAGAAGUAGUAUCAUUUGUUAAGCUGCUCAGUGAGAUCAGGAGCAAUAUCUUGGUCAUUCCCUCAUAAUUGCAAAAUGGUUGCUGAGCUCCUUUUGCAAUCAUACUCAAGGCAGUAAAGAAGGAGAACUGGUGAUACCAGCCACGAUUGCAUCUUUUGUCAGGCAAUGAUAAACACCAGUAGAAACUACUGCCACUUACUUUUUACUGGCUAUAACUGUAACUACUUGCCCUAAAGAAAAAGUAGAAAAGAAAGGGCUUAGCUUUAGCCAGACUUCAUCAUGCAAGACAGCAAGAAGUGCUAUAGUUCUUGAACUAGGGAAUAACAUCCUCAAAAAGGUGUCUUAGGAAGGUGUAACCUGGAGUCAAUGGAAAAAGUAAAACUAAAAAUGGAGAUCAGUAAAAAGGAUACUGCUGCAGCCGGUGAAAGGAAAACUGAAUUGAAAUGAAGACUGAAGAAAUAAUAAAGGACUUAAUUUAAGGGACAUGUCUACUCACAGCUACAGGUGAAGAGAUGUGUUUCUGUGCUUUUUCUUGUCAAUAUAUAUCAUGUGUUUUGCAAAGACAGAGACGUAUACAUAAGUAGCUUGCAUGUCAUGUUUUCUUUCUCCUCUGUGUCCUUGACUACAGCCUCCAUUCACUAACUCAACAAACACUUACUGAGCCCCCACUUUGUGCAAGGACGUGCCAUGCCCUACAGGAUAAUGCAAACUUGAGUCCAGCACAGAUCAUACCCUCAAGGAACAUACAGACCCAAGAGGGAGGAAACACCUGUCCCCACAUCCUGAAAUUGCAAAUUAGUAAGUGUCAUCAAGUCAUGAAAGUUCAGAGGAAGUUUUACCUUAUCCAGAGAGAUAGAGGGAUAGCUUUCUGGAAAAGGUGGCAUUUGAGCUUGGUUUUAAAGAAUCAAUAGGCCAGGUGCAGUGGCACAAACCUGUAAUCUCAGAAGCUGGGGAGGCUGAGGCAAGAGGAUCCCGAGUUCAAAGCCAGCCUCAGCAAAAGCAAGACACUAAGCAACUCAGUGAAACCCUGUCUCUAAAUAAAAUACAAAGUAGGGCUGGAGAUGUGGUUCAGUGGUCAAAUGCCCCUAGGUUCAAUUCCCAUUACCCAAUAAUAAUAAUAAUAAUUGGAUUUUAUUUGAUAGACUAGGAAAUAUUUAUUGUACUAUUACAAAGGGCAAGAUCCUGAAAUCUACAUGUGAUUGUGUGUUCGUGUUUCUUAUAUGUGUGUCUGUUUCUGAACAUGUAUAUGUUUCACUAUGUGUACUUAGCUGUUAUCUCCCCGUGUUUUAAUAAUUGGCCUUUUUAUACAUUCAUGCAAAAUUCCACAUGUAUAAUUUACAUGUGGCCAGCAGAUGGCACCACAAAAUCAUAACUAGCAAGGAAAAUUCUACCUUCUUCCAGUCAAGUAGCAUCUCAAAUCCUAUUAGGCCUUAGAUAACCAGGCCCUUGUAGGGGGUGUUUAUCUACUUCAAUCAUAAGCCUUAUUCACCAUUGUCUUCCCAUGUUCAGUAAAAUAUCUAACAAAUUGAAGAUUUGAUGAAAUGCUAAAAGGUCCAGUGAGAGAAAUGGAGCUAGAGAGAGCCAAAGGAAGAAAGAAGCGUAGAGAAGGCUGCCCAUCAGCAAAGACCCCACAGGAAGUGGAUUUCAUAGUCACACUCAUAGAAGUCACAGAGGGGUCAAGAGGAAGGUGAGAUAAAACAAUAAACUUGGUCUUUGCUGUCACCCCUAAGGUUUCCCUCUUGUAUAGGGGCCUCUGACCCUGACCCUUUUCUUCAACUGAACUUUAGUUAGUGCCUAGACAGUACUAGGGCCUACAGAAAAUGCUAUCUCUUCAGUUUGGGUGCUUACAACCUGUGUAGAGAAAUAAAACUUAUUUUAAAAUGACAGCUGAGACAGCUCUCUGCCCAUGGCUGAGGGUGCCCCUUCUUACCCCUCAGACUAAGUGCUGCAGCAAGAACAUAUCUGGAUAGCCAGGCAUGGUGGUGCACACCUGUAAUCCCAGCAACUCAGGAGGCUGAGGCAGGAGGACCCGCAAGUUCAAAGCUAGACUCAGCGACUUAGAGAGGCCCUAAGCAACUUAGCAAGACCAUCUCAAAAUAAAAAAAAAUAAAAUAAAAUGAGCUGGGGAUGUGGUUCAGUAUUUAAGUGCCCCUGGACUCAGAGCCAGAGGAAAUUCCAGCUGGGUCUGCCCAAAGACCUUCUGACCCAGAGGACCUCUGACUUCUGGCACUUCUUUCCCAACCCCUCUUACCCUGGUCAACUUAGGUCUCUCUCUGCCAUCAGCCCUGCUGAUCUACCCCAAUGUCUCCAGAUAUUCAGAGUCCAAGCCUGGGAUCCCUCCCCUCCACCUUCCUCACCCCAAUGCAAGACUCUUCAUUAGCCUCUCCAAGAAGAAGUAGGCCUCUGAUUGCCCACAGUGACUACUGCUCACAAGAACAUAGAUGCCACCUUCAAUACUCCCUUUGCUCCCAUGGGGAAACUGAAUCUCAGUUAGUUUUGCAGCAAAAAACUUGGACCAACAAAAACCUAAUGAAAGGGACCAGCCUCAGGUCGUCUGCACGCUAGGAGGAACUGGAAAUAGAAGACACAUUCAUGAUCCAGUCCAGUUGUCACAAUGGAUGGGUCUGGCUGCUUCCCCUUGUCCCCCCGUCCUCCCCAUCUCCUUAUUCCUUUGAGCUGCCAGCAGCAUGCAGAGCUGGUAUCUAUUAUGCCUUGCUGGUCAAGGCCCCCUCAGGGCCCUCUGAGGAAGUCCACAUACCUCAGCUGGGCACUCAGGGCCCUCUGCAAAGCAGACUCUGCUCCAGCUAUUUCUCCCAUCACUCCUCCUUACCCACUUAGACCCACACUCUCAGCUCCCUGGAUGUACUCGACUUCCCUCCUCCUGCACUUAGCUAAGGCCACUCCUCCCUGGAAUGUUCUCUCUCCCCAUUUCCACCUGGCAAAUGACCAUCUGCUUUUCAAGGCCCACUUUAAUUCCCAUCUUUUCCUAAGGCCUUUGGUGCUCCACCCCGAUCUGACGUGGCCUCGCUCUCCUCUCUUGGCAUUGUUAUCCUUAGCUUACUAUCUUAAUGCUUUAUUAUCUGAACAUCAAUCCCUUCUACUCAACUCUAAGCCCUGCAAGGGAAAAAAAUCUGUUUCUUAUUCAUCUAGUAUCCAGCAACCUGUUUGAUAUGUAGCAGAUGCUCAAAAAAUGCAGAGGAGGGAGUAUAUCAAAGUUUGCUGUAUGUGUGGCUGUCCUUCAAUGCUAUGAGACACGGGUACAAAGAACUGUGAUCCCUGAGGAGUACAAAAGACUGAUGCUCUUUCUAUUACAAGAUGAAAACACUGAGACCCACUUAGGUGCCAGAUGCCUCUUGGCCUCAAAUCUACCUCCUCAGUUUCCUGGCCUCCUCAGUCCUUAAGGACUGACCACUCAGAAAAUCUCUCUCAUCUUUUCCUCCCUUUCUCCCUUUUCCUUCCUUUCUUUCCCCUGUCAUCCCAUAAACCUUGGCUCCUGCCCACAGAUCCCUGGGGAAAAAAUAUUAAAAGGCUGAGGGAAACUUCCCCCUUAUGAACACUGGGUGAGGGAGUGAUUAUUGGAGGUCACUGUCUUGGUCAGUUCCUGUUUCUGGAGCAAAGAUGCCAAAAUCUGUUCCUUUUUCUCAUGAAAAAAAUGUAGAAGUUUUGACAUUCAAAAUUCCCAGAAUCACUACUGUUACUGCAGGCUGGCUACAUCAGUAUGAAAGGUCUGUCAAGGCCAACAGGGCCUGCUCCUCAUGGGUGAGUGUCUAAGGGCAACCCUGGAAAUGACACAUCCUACCCUGACCCUUCCCAGUUCCAUGGCAUCCACCAGGCCUGUCUGAGGAGGAGGAAAUGCACUAUGAUAGGUCUGGCUGGGGGCCUUCUAUUUCCUCCCAGGACCUUGGAAGGGACUUACUCAGAGGAGAGUCCCUCUCCAACCUAUGUCUGGAUACUUGGAAACCCCUGGAGAGGAUAGAAAUUGAAGCUGGUAACUUGGACUUAUUUUUUUUUUUAAGAGAGAGUGAGAGAGGGAGAGAGAGAGAGAAUUUUAAUAUUUAUUUUUUAGUUAUCAGCGGACACAACAUCUUUGUUUGUAUGUGGUGCUGAGGAUCGAACCCGGGCCACACGCAUGCCAGGCGAGCGCACUACCGCUUGAGCCACAUCCCCAGCCUGGUAACUUGGACUUAUGUGAUAUAGGUCAGUGUGGGAAACUCCAUCCUUGUCCCACUUUGAGUUUGAAACAGUCCUGCCUGGGGAUAAGCAGACACAGCUACACCCAUUUCAGCUCUCAGCCUUGGGCCAAGGCACUUCCUCGUGAGCUCCAGUUCCACCUGUAAUGGCCAGACUGUACCACCUCGAUGUGGAAUUAGACCCUGGUGAAACUCUGAGAAAUGAAAUGGUCCAGUGUGGAAAAUACUGGGAGUGGAGAUGGGGCAAGGGUGGAUUACAGAAAUAGGUACAUACCAACUAAGCCAUGCUCAGAACCUAGAGCUAGAGUAAGAGAGAAUGAAAAUGGGGUUGGCAUGAAGAUUAGGAUCAAGGUGUGAAGUUCAAGUUGGUCUUAGGGAGGUAAUAAACUGGGACCCCCUUGAUGUAGUAAGAGAGACAACAUGGCAGGGUGUGGGUAGCAGGUUCUCUAUGUAUUCAAGAAGCAAAACUAGGGUGCUGGGGAUGUGGCUCAAGCGGUAGUGCGCUCGCCUGGUAUGUGUGUGGCCCGGGUUCGAUCCUCAGCACCACAUACAAACAAAGAAGCAAAACUAAGCUUUCUGGCAGGAUCCACGUCUGUCUUGCUUUUCCUCUUUAUGCUGCCAUUUGUACUAUACUGGCCCAAUUCCUUCCUCUUUCUCCUGUCUUGUCAUGUAACACAAUCAAUCAUUGUCUUUACUGUAGGACAACCACCAUGCUAGACAGUAGGUCUGCAAAAAAUAUAGAAGGGCCAAGUGUGGUGGUGCACGCCUGCAAUUCUAGUGUCUCAGAAGGCUGAGGCAGGAUCAACUAGCCCUGUUCCAAGAAGCAAGGACCAGCCUCCUAGCAGAAGUUAUCAUGAGCCCUAACUAGCGUCCGCCAUCUACCUUCCUCUCUCCCAAUCCCCAACCCAAAUCUUAUUUUGCUGGGAUGUUUCUCAAGCUCAGUUGACUCCAUGAAGGGUUUCUAUCCCUCUCUCAGGCCUCCACACCACAGUCUGAGACCUCCUUAUGCAAGGCAGGAUUGCUACUCAUCUCAGGCCUCAUCUUCCUGUCUCCACUCCCUGCACCCCUCAGCACUCACAGUGGUCUCCUGAGGAGCCAGCCUCUCCGGUCCAAGCCAAGCCAGCUCCCUGCCUUGUUCUCAAUGCCUACAGUAAAGAAAGAUCAGCACAGCAAGUCCCAAGGUCUAGGCCUGCAACAUUUGGGGACGUCAGUGGCUGGGGCUUUCCAAAGGGUAUGGCUUGGACCUAUGGAGACCCCACUGCUAGGAGCACAUUCCAGAUCCUCAGUGCCUCCUCUACUGGGACCCUCAUGAGCUUUGAAUUUACCCAGAAGGUGGGCCUGACCCAGCAUCAGCAGGGACUGGGGAACUGCUGUGCAGAGAUGGCCGACCCAGAUGCCCAGUGCCAGAGACGGUAGGGGGCAGGAGGCUGGGCCUGGCCAGGAGUCUCUGCGCGAGCCGAGCCUGGGCCCAUUCACGAGGUCCCCAUCUCGAGGUUCCACCGGGCUCAGGAGUACCAGGUGCUGGCGGUGGCGGGUGGGAGCGCUCCCAAGGUAGAUGUCCCCGAGGCAGUGCAGGAGACUGGUAAGGACAGCCCUCGCCUGCGCGGGGCCACCAGGGUCGCGCUCUCCGCUGCGACCCCCGCCCUCCCCGCGGGGCCGGCUGAGCCCCGCCCGCCCGCCUGAGCCUGAGCGCGGCGCCGCGGGAGGAAUUCCAGCCAUUUCCUCUGCGCCGCGCGGUAUGUGGCCUGCUCGCUGCCCGACCGCAGCACGGCCCCGGGUGGGGGCCGCCGGCGCGGGCCAGUCCCCAGCCGCGUCUGGCAGCUGCCCGAGCCUCGCGGUGCUGCUCGGGAUUCCCGGCCAGCAGCCUCCUUGUCCCGGGCAACCAAACCGGCCUUUCCAGCAGCCCCGGGCCUGUGUGUUCCCGCCGGGAGCCGCUCCUCCCCCGCGUGCCCGGUCUCCGGUUUCAUCGCCCCCCCCCCCAUCGCGCCCCUUCUCCCGCCGCCGCCGAGGAACGUGGCGGCCAGAUCGCUCUUGCGAGUCCCCUGCAUCCGAAUUUGAAGCUGAAGUAGGCAGUUGCUCUGUCACCUCGGGGCAUGUCCUGAGACCUAAUUGCCAAGCCUCAGUUUCUCCAUCUAUGAGAUGGUGACCCUGGCAGAAAUGCCUUCCUCAUUUGUACCUAGGUUAAAUAGAAAAGGAAAAUCCUGGACAAAUGUUAGCGACAUUUUUGUUUUUCAAGGUCUCACUACUGUCCUUUACUUUCCACACAAGAUCUCCCUGCCCUCCGCCUCUUCUGCAGCCUGGUUUGCAGGUGGAGCAGUCAGGGCGGUUCUUGCAAGUAGGCACAGUAGAUGGCCUCUUUACAGGGCGACAUGCCCACGGAAGUGCACUCAACUAGCCUGAAGGGCCGACCCUGGAGUCCUGGUAGGUUUUAAGCAUUGCCCUCUUCUCAAUCACUAGGUUCUUGCAGGACCCAAGGAUGGUUGUUUAGAUUUUUUUUUUUUUUUUAAAUGAUGGUAUUGCUGUCUGAGAGCGGCCAGACAGGUAGUGAUUAGGGGAAAUUGAAGGUGCGGACAGCAAACGUGGAUUCUAUAGUUUUGUGUCUGAAAAGAGGAUCGGCCACCAAGUGCUCUCAUGGAACCUCUUUCCAAAUAUAGAUCCCCAGAGAGAAGGAACAUUUUUUCAUCCUUGAACCUUUCUGAGGAGGGGUGGAGGCAACUGUGAGAGCCAGAGCCCAGGGCGACAUAGAGGGUAGGAUCUGCUUCUCCAGCCGCCCACACCUGCCUCACCCACGCCCACGGUCACCGCCAAUGUGACACUGCGUGGGGUUGGAAAGCCCCGAGUUUCACUAGGCCUAACCACCGACCGCUUCUCAGACACUGCACGGAAGAGCUGCUCUGCCUGGGUGUUUCCCUAGACAGCCUCUUGUUUUGAUUUUGUAACUUUUAAUCCGGCAGAGUCCCAAGGCCAAGAGCUAUUCCCUUGCAAAGAGAUGCGCCCCCUCAUUCACCACACACACUACAGUCACAGGCAGCAUAAAUCCAGGUGGGGACAGGUCCAGAAACACAGGUGCUAUAAAUAUCCCAAUCCGAUGAGGUGGCUGAGCUCGCAGACAGCCCCUCCCCAGACGCGCGCCCCUGAGCCCAGCACUUCCGGCCAUCUAAGCGCAACCAGUCGGUCCUCAGCGGUGGGAGGAGCAGACUUCAUUUGUACUAGCGGGCUACCCUUUCUUCUCCGGAGGGUGCCAGAAAGCCCAACCUGAGCUUUUAUUUUCUACUCUGGACCCACUAUCCUACCCUGGGUCCCUAACCCCAAUCGCUUUCCCUUGCAUCCUUUCUGUCCCCUGGUAUUUUCAGAGGACCUCCAAAGAACGGACCCUAGAAGGUAGUCUCUUAGAAAUGCAAACUCUCAGGCACGAUGACGUUUGUUCAGAAUCCCAGCAAGUCGGGAGGCUGAGGCAGGAAGAUAGAAAGCUCUAGACCUGCCUAAGCAAUUUAGCGAGAGCCUGUAUCAAAAUUAAAAAAAAAAAAAAAGGCUGGGGAUGUAGCUCAAUGACAAAGCGCCCCUGGGUUCAAUCCUCAGUACCAAAUAAAGAAAAGGAAAGAAAUUCAGACUGCAUCAUUCGAAAUGGGUGAGAGAUGCUGCCUUUUGUUGGAGGGCAACAACCUAAAUCAGAUUUCAAACUUUUAAAUACCAUUCUAAAUUAUAGGUAGCAUUUUUGUUGAGUGGAGGGGAUGAAAACAAACAAAAAUCAAUCUGGAGGCACAGUAACAGAGGAAGGAAGAAGCUGAAAAUAUAUGUAAAGUGGGGAGAGUCCCCACCAGAAAAGAAAGUUACCCUGCCAGCAGGCUGUUUUCCAGGACCUUAGUAGGAUUUUAUGAACUCGUUCUGCUGGGCCUGGGACUUUAGAGAAUUCACUGAGCCUAAAGGGUUAAUAAGGUCCCAUGACUGGGGCUAAGGGGCUCCAACACAAAAAUUUCCUCUAGGGUAUUUAGAGAGACGUGAUGACUUGGGGAAAGGGUAGAAGAAAUAAAACAGGUUUAAAGAUGAAUGAAACAGAUCCGAACCACCAGUGGUCAAAUGAGACUGUAAAAGUAAGCUUUCACUAGAUAAGUAAAUCCCCAUUUAAAACAUAGUGGGUAAGUCUUCUAAAAAUAAAGUCACAUUCCUUUUCCAGUGUGGGAGCUUACUCUUUAGACUCUGCUAAGGAGGCGCUGUGCAAGCUCUAUCUCAUUAAAUCCCACUUAGAAGGUACUUAUGAAUUCCCCAUUUUAAAGAUUCAAAAACUUAAGUCAGAGAGACUAAUUAACUUGCCAAUGAAUUCACAGCUAGUAAAGGAGAGAUUUUGAGCCAGGGAACUGAUUCCAGAGGUCAUAGUUUGAUCCUGUGUUGUAGGAUAAUAAACUCAACUGUUCUCUCUGAGAUGGCAAUGUCUCCCCGGCACACCUCAGCUCUCUUUCACAGUAAGGAAGAACUUCUUCACGCCUCAUCUGCCUCUAGCAGACCUGAGCCAAUGCAUCCUCAUUGAACUCGAUGGCUUUCCUGAGGGACCCAAGCAACUGAUGCCCUAGUAUAUGAAAGAAACUGCCCAUAGAAGCAGGAUUCCAAAUGGACUGGAUGAAAGUCGCCAAGGCCAGAGUUAGCGCCAAACCAGCCCUUCCAGUGUGUUUUCAGCACCACGGGGCAGCUCAAAUGGUAUUUUUGCUAAAAAGUCAACAUAAAAGAAUCAUUGUGCUUAACAAAGCCAGUUGUGUGCUUAAAUUUAUACAAGUCAAUGAUAUCCCACCUUGGUCCAUGGACCCAGAGGACCCAGAGAUUAUUUUCUCUGGCUCUCCUCCUGUUUUUUUAAAAGUUGAAUCAAUUACCAGAAAUUUUAAUUUGGAAGAUUGCACAGAAAUAUCUAGAUUUUUAGCUUCUCUCCUCCAGAUCUGUCCACAGUGACACGUAUUCUUAGUUCACAGUCCCAUCGGUCCAUCCUCUUUCUCCCACCUCACUGGGGGACCCACCCUUUCUCUAUCACUAAAAAACAAAGAUUCACUAAGGAGUUCACUCUCGAAUCUUCACCAUUCACAUACCAAUAAGAUAAUCUUUUCUCGGGAGCUGAUGAAGGGAAAUUAAUUGAGGAGAGUUAAGGAAAGAAAGCAUGGUUCCCCCAGACAGGGGGUCAGGCCACACCAAAGCACAGCAGAGAGGAUUUCUAGAGCUCUAGAAAACCGCAAGAUGAGAAAUUGAUGUUCAGGUGGCUGUCAUGAAACUAGAGUGUGUGAGAGGAAUAUCCCCCGCUUCCCAAGAGCUCAGCUUCUCAUUUCACCCAGCAAACACCAGCCUUUUCUUAGCAUCCCGUGUCCCUUUUUCUGCCCCUCUUCUACAAGUGCCUUGGGUAGUGGACAGAGGCAAAGCCUGGAGGUGAUUACAAGGCUGCCGACUCAGGCUAUGAGCGAGCCCAAAGGAAUGGGUUUGGCUUGCAACCAGGACAGAACUGAGCCCAGAAGAGGAGCUGAAUAAAGAUCAAGUCCAAGUGCUUCACUGGGGUCUGGACAGCCAGGAAUUGAAGCAUGGUCUCAUUCACAAAGGUGAUGAGCAGCUGUGUUUUCUGAAACAUGGACCACAGGAGCAAAAAUCAUCUUCCUCUAAUUUGAAGGCUUUUCCUGCCAAAGAAGUUUAUUGUGCAGGCAGAGAGGGGAAGAGUGAGGAAAGGUUUUGAAUUAAAGAUGUGGGAAUAGCGGAGGGCCUUAGAAGGAUAUUCCUGCCAGACUUUGGGGCUACAUUAACUUUCCUUAAAUACCUGGGAAGGUUUCAGCUCUGAAUAUUUAAUUAAGGCCCUUUUUCUGGCAGUGGCCCAUGUGGCAAAUGUGUCAACAGAGCCCUAGAUGUGUACUCUGGGGGUGGGGAGUGGGGUAGAUGAGAUGAAGUACUUUUAGAGAAACAGGAAGUUUAGUAAUCAGAGAGAGGAAAACAUAUCUGACCUCUUUUAAAACCAGUGGAUAGUAUGGCAGGGUCAGAAUUGUCACAAUUGCUGGAAAAAGUGAAAAAUUAGAGAAAAAGACAGUGAAAGAGAGGCCCCUGCAGGGAGUUGCCAGGCGAGAUUAGGGGCAAAUUCUAUUCAGAGAGCCUCCCUUAACAUUCCCCCAUCAUCGUUGAGUAGAAAGGGGCCCCUAAAACUCCCUCUUCAUCACAACAUUCACAGCCUCACCACCAUCAUCUGUCUUGAAUCCACAAUUACUAGUCUCACCAAGUUGUGUCUGUCCCAAAUCACCCUGGUUCAGGUCACCUCAUAUUUAGCUUGCUAAUCCUCAUGAGGCACCCUCUGUUUUUCCCCUGCUUUGUGCCCUUCUCCCUUUCUUCCCAAUCCUCCCUCCUUUCCUUUCCCUCUGGAGCUCAUAAUCCCUGGUUAGCAAAAUCACCUUGAUCCUCAACAUAUUCUCUGAGCAUCUUUUCAUAUCUUUCCUGGGGACACCUGGCCUCCCCUACUUUUCCCACAACCUCCUCAAGCAGGGACCAUUUUUUUUUUCACAGCUCUGUCAUUAAACCUGAAAGUGAGAUAGGUGUCCUUCUUAUUCUUCUUUGUGACUUCUAGAAUUCUCUCUCUACUUCUCUGCAAACCCUUGAGCCCCACAUUGAAUUUCAUGUCAUCAGAUUAUACAAGUAAAUACUGUCUUCUGCCUCAAAAGUAAUUUUUCCAUUAUUUCAGGUCCUGUUUCACUCACACAGGACACAGGUGUGCACACUCACUCUUUCCAGUAGUCUUAAUCUGGUAAUUUCAAUAUAAAUGUAGGUGACCCUUCCAACAUCCAACUCUCCCAGUCCCUCAAACUCUCUCCUCCAGUGACCUUCCCUCCACUCAGCUCUUAGUUGUGAUCACCUACAACAACCACCUCUUCACAAUCUCAUUUUCUUGAAUCCCAUUCUGACUACAGCCUCCAAACUUUCCACUUUACCUCCUCACCUGAUCCCAACCAUCCUUUGACCCCAUCAGAACCUCCAAUCUAUUGAUUCCAUCACCCCUCACUAUUACCCACCCUUUUGAUGUUCCUACUCCCCUCCCAUAAAUUUUGGACAGUCAUUAUAUAAACAUUGCUGCUGUGUACACCCUCAACUCUUUUUCUUUGUCCUAACCACCUGGCAUGAUGACAGAUUUAGUCACAUCCACUCUGUGCCUACUUCAUACAUCCAUGCCUCCAGCUGAGCUCAGCUAGAGAAAAGCACAGUCGUGCUGCUUGAUCUCAUUUUAAAUUCAUGAUGAUGAAAUUCAAGCAGACCCUUAAUGCUGCUCAGCAGCCAUAUUUCCCUGGUCUGUUCACUCAUUUUUGCUCCUAGAGAGUUUCAUGUUUGUUUUCUCAAACCCUUAACAACAUCUUCCCAUUCUCACUCUCAGAUGAUAAUUGGAUUCUUUGUUUUUUCCCUACUGGGAGAGCAGGAGAGACCAGAAGACAACUCUACAGAUUCCCACCACCAUGUUUAUCCCCUGACCAACAGUGGCCUCUUGAUACUUUGCCCUCUUCUACCUAUUACCCAUCCAUCAAAGCAAAGUUCUCCACUUGUGCACACAACAGGAUCCCUCUCACCUACUCAAGGACAUUCUUUGGCAAUUCUUCCCUUUUUACUCUUAGAAUAAAUCGUUGCUCUCUGCUGGGUCAUUUCCACCAGCACACAAGCAUGCUAUUAUUUUUCAUAUCUUAAAAACAACAAAGCCUUUUAAUGACUGUACUUCCUUUGGCAGCCACUGCCCCAUUUGUUUGCUCGCCUUUAGAGCAAGCGCCUCCAAAUAAUCAUUAACACUUGCUACGUCCAAUUCUCCUUCAGUUCUCUCUUAAACCAACUCCACUCAGCUUUAUAUCCCCAUUACUUCACAGAAAUGGUUCUUGUCAAAGUCACCAUGACUUCCAUCUUGCUAAAUCCAACGGCCAAGUCUAAGCUCUCAUCUUACUGAUUCACAGUAUUUGAUAUGAUUGACCACUUCUUCCUUCUUGAUAGAGUUUCUUCACUGAUACUCACUUUAGAACUUCUUGUUCUCUGUGUUUUGCCCCACCUCACUGCCCCCAAUCUUCUUGAUUUUUUUUCCUGGUUUCUCCUCUUUUCUCUGACCCCUAAAUGUUGAAGUAGUUAGGACUCAGACCUCAGUCCUCUACUCUUCUUUAUCCACCAUCCACCGUUUUUGAUGAUCUCAUACAAAUACAUGAUUUUAAAUACCAUCAACAUGCCCAGGAAAUCUGCAUUUAUAUCUCUAGCUCCAGACUUUUUUUAGGAACUCAAGACUCAUAUGUCCAAUAUCUAAUUGCUCCAUAUCUCCAGACUCAAGCUAAAACUGAAUUCCUGAUACACUCCCCCCAAACUGAUCUACCCACAGUCCUUCCAUAACAACUGUUGGCAAAUCUUUUCUUCCAGUUGCUCAGCCUAAAAUCUUAGUCAUCCUUGACUCCUAUAUUCCUCUCACAUACAUAUCAGAUCUGGCAUGAAUUUACUACUUCCUCCAAAAUACAUCCAAAAUUCCAGCCACUUUAUUGCUGCCAUCUACUUGAAACCACUAUCCUCUCUCAUCUAGGUUAUUGCUAUAGCCUCCUAUCCAGUCUCCUUUCUUCUAUAAAUUCUUGCCUUCAACACAGCGGCCACAGUGAUACUUUUAAAAUGCAUCUCAGAUCACAUCACUUCUUCAAUAGAACCCUUGAGGAUUCCCAUCCCAUUUCUCUCAGGAUAACUCUUUGUUAUCUACUUAUAUCUCUCAGUGAAAAAUCCAGAGUCUUUACAACGGUCACAAAGUCCUGCAUUAUUAGUUCACUCCACCCACCACUCACCUUUCUAUCUUUCUCUUCUGACACUCUCUUCCUCACUCAUUCCAGCCUCUCUCCAUAGUGCUAGAUCUAACAGUCAAGUCUAAACUCUCACCUCAACAUAAUAGUAUGCUCUUACACUGGAGUCCUUGCUCUACCUGAACACACUUAAUGAACUUUCUUAUUCCUUCCAUGUUCACAUUUCACCUUCUCAAUGAGGCCCACCUCAACAAUCUACCCUUUCCUUUUCCUUAUACUUGACUCCUGAUCACCCUUAACUGUAUAACUUUUUUUUGGUCCCCAUAGCAUUGCAUACUAUGCAACUUAUUACUUGUUGUGUUUAUUGCUGAUUGUCUAUCCUCUCCUCUGCAAGGGCCUUUGUUCUGUUUGUUCACAAAUACAUUCUAUGACCAGAACAGUGUCUGCCACAUGACAGGAAGACAAAAAGAUUUCUUUUUUUUUUAUGCAUGAAAAGCAUUCAGAGAGAGAGAAAGAGAGUUAUUUCCUCAGCCAUCAGAAGUGGCUAAGCCAAGAGCAAAUGGCAGAAUAGAACUAGAAAGAGAAACUGGAGCUGACUAUGAAGACCUGAUUCAUGAGCAAAGUCAGACCAAAUUGAAAUGAAAAAGUGAGCUGUAUACCUAUAUUACCUGAUGGAUGGAUAGAUGGAGAGAGAGAGAGAGAGAUAAACAGAAAGAUGGUAGAUAAAUCAAGAUCUCUCGUGUGGUAGGUAAUAUAGUGACUUUAUUUACUGAACAGGGGGUAAAUAAAGGCCUGAGUCAAUGACACUGGUUUACCCAGUUUCCAUGAUGGACACUUGCUUUUCAUGCUUCCCAGCACUAAGGAAAAUAAUUACACAGUUCACAGAAAGACACUAAAAGCAAAAGUGGAAAUGCCCCACAGGUGAGGUCUUUGAAAAAGAAAUUCUUCUCUCCUGCUCUUUCCCUAAGUAGCUUUUCGGUAGAGGAUACUACAGUAUCUGAUAUUUGGGAUGGUCUGCAGGCCCACUUCAUCAGAAUUCUGUGAUCAUUGGAUGCCGAUGGGUUAACAGUUGGGCCUGCCUGGCCACUGUAACAGAGGUCUUCUGCAGGCCAUGCCUUUCUUUCCCACAGGGAUUGCAGCCUCCAGGCUAGCUGCCAAUAUAUUCUUUCUCCAAAGAUGCCAAUGUUAUGUAAGGAGCCUCUGCACACAGCAUAAAUCAAGUGAUGAGGAAUGGGAUGGGGCAGUCCUGCAGCCACCAAUGUCUUAAUGCUGUGUCAUACACUGAGCCCACAGCCCACCAAGGUCAGCACAGCACUAGGGAGAACCAAGGUCCACACUGCUAGGGGCUACCUGCUAUUGGGGUAGACCUAUGGCCAAAGACAGUGGCCAUCAGUCACAUGUGAGGCUGGUUAAAUGAAUAGGCCACUGCCCUGUGUCUUUACCUGGCACCAGGAGGUCGCAUCCACAGGCACCAGCCUCCUCACUCUCCCAAAUUUCAGCCCAUGCCCCCUACCUUCUCUCCAUAUCUCUCUCCAACACACACACACACAAAUACACACACACAUACACACAAUGAAGCCAACCCCGCUGUGUGUGAGUGUGUGUGUGUGUGUGUGUGAGUGCGUGUACUAGGAAUUAUAAACUCAGGAGUGCUUAGCCAUUAAGCCACAUUCCCAGCCUCCCCACCCCCUGCCUUUUUUUUUGAAACAGAAUUUGUUUGUUUUUGUUUGUUUGUUUGUUUUUUUGGUGCGGGGACUGAAUGCAGGGGUGCUCGAUCACUAAACUACAACCCCAGCCCUUUUUAAAUAUUUUUUUUAUUGAAGCAGGAUUUCACUAAGUUGCUUAGGAAUUCACUAAGUUGCUGGAGCUGGCUUUGAACCUGUGAUCCUCCUGCCUCAGCCUCCCAAAUCGCUGGGAUUACAGGCAUGCGCCACAGCUGGCUCCUUUAUGUAUCAAACACGAAGAUUUCUGGCCCAUCUCUGGCUCCUUCCAGCUCUCAGCAAUUCCUGACUGUUAACCCUGAUCAGCACAGCAGCAGAACAGCUGGCCUGGAAUCUCUCUUAGGCAGAGAAGCUGUACAAACUCAUGCGUGGACAGUAUUUGACCCUUGCCUCUCCCCCAUGCUUCUUUUUAGGUCCCAGAAAGAGGUCUGAUAUCUACAUUCAUCAGCAUUUUCUCUCUAGGGGAGAAGGGAGUGACAUGGAGAGAAGGGAAUGAGAGGAAUUAGAACAAGUCUGGGAAAGAAAGAAGGCGGAGGCUAUUUUGAUCUGCUCUUUGUACUCAGUGCAGACGCCUGCAUUGGACAGUGCUUAGGUUAUCGGCAAAUUCUGGGGACAUUCCCAUGUCAGUCCAAAGCCUAAUCAGAAAAGAAAGUUGAUGCAGAGCACAGUUAGGAAUGCCUGAAAUCCCAGCGACUCAGGAGGUCGAGGCAAGAGGAUCACAAGUUCAAGGAUAGCCUGGGGAACUUUGCAAUACCCUGUCUCAAAGUAACAAAUAAUAGAGGUUGGGGAUGUAGAGCACCCCUGGGUAUAGUGAAAGAAAGAAAGGAAGGAAGGAAGGAAGGGAGGGAGGGAAAGAAAGGAGGGAGGGAGGGAGGAAGGAAGGAAGGAAGAAAGACUAUAGCCAACAAUAGUGUAAUAUAUAAAGCCAAAAUAGAAAGGAGUUUCUGGGCUCUGACCUGGUUUGAAGCAUUUCAUAUGAAGGCAAGAGCUGAGGAAAAAUGGCAUUGUCUUUGGAAUGACCUUUUUCCAAUUAUAGAAGUCAUCAUAAAAUUGUAAUGAGGGAGAAAUCGAAAAUCAAAUCAGAUAACUCAUAUAUGGGAUACAUGGCAGAGGGCCAUAAAGGUGUUUGACCUUAGUUCUAUAGAUUUUUCCCCUUGUGCCGUAGGUGUUAGACCAAGACAGGAAACAUUAAGUCAAGCAAAUUUAAUCUGGGUUUGGCUUUUGAUUUUUGGCGGGAUGGGGGAUGAUUUAUAACCAGAACUUUAGUUUUUUAGUAUACUUAUUAUGUGGCUACUUUGAGAAGGGAAAAUCAGAUUUCCCCAAGUGUCUUUAACAACAUAAUUCUUUUUUUUUUUUAAACCAUGGAACACCUCUCUUGUGUCCCUUGAGACCCUAUUAGGGACUAGGAAGACACUGAAGAUUUUUGAGCUGAAAAGCAAUAUGCAGGGAAAAUCAAGCUUUAGAAGACCGACCUCAUGGUGGAAUGUAAAAUAAACAACAGAGCCUAGAUUCAGGGAAAAUGAUCAGAUGUUGGAAUCAAAGCUCAAGACUGGGGCCUGGGGGUGGCAACUGGAGCAGAGAGUGGAGAGUGAAAAUGUUGAUUAAGUGUAGAAUCUUCUGUUGGACUCUGGGAAGAUACAGAAGAAGUCUUAGAGUUCCUGGAUCUUGGAGGAAUUUAAAAGAGCAUUAAUCAGGAUUUUUACUGUAAGAAAGAAAUCAGUUAAACCAGUUAAAGCAAAAGGAGCAUUUUUAAGGGAACAAGGAUGCUUCACAAAGGACUGGAUCCAGGUACCGUGGAAAUCUGACAAAAAUUCCCCCAUCAGGCUCAGCUUCUCUGUUCUCUUUUUCCUUCCCUCUGUUGCUUCCUCUCUUCUCUAAUCUCCCUUCUUCUCUCCCACCCCCAAAUUUUGUAAAGAAAAUGGCUUCCCUGAGUGUCCAUGUCACAUUUGCUUGUUACAGUUCUAGCCCCUUCAGAAAGUAGUUCUCCAUCUCUCCUUUCCAGGCUCAGCUCUCCAGGUUAAAGCAUUUCAUUGACCCAACUUGGGACCCACUUAUUUAUUACCAAGAAAGUAGGUUUUAAAAUACAAGCAUGGGAGGUGGGCUGGGGAUAUCACUCAGUUGACAGAGUGCUUUCCUCACACUCACAAGGCCCUGGGUUCAAUCCACAGGGCAAAAAAAAAAAAAAGGCUGGGGAUGUAGCUCAGUGAUGAAGUUCUCCUGAAUUCAAUCCCUAAUAUGAAAGAAAGAAAGAAAGAAAGAAAGAAAGAAAGAAAGAGAGAGAGAAAGAAAAUAAGCAAGUAGAAUUCUGGAGGAGUAGGAGAAGAUUACCAGUGAAUAAAUGGAUGACUAAGAAGCUUUAGAGCAACUUUAUUAAACAGCUAUAUUCUUAUUCCUUUCCCAGACUCCCUUUAGUUCCCAAGUCCUGAAAGAAUCUAUAGAUAAGGAAAGUCAAUUCUGCAGUGGUUGAGAGCACACACUCUGAGACUAAAUUGCCUGGAGAGUCAGUCAUCCCUUAAUGAUGGGAUGCUUCCUGAGAAAUGUAUUUUUAGACAAUUUCAUCAUAUACAACGAUCAUAGUGUACUUACAGAAACCUAGGUGGUAUAAGCCAAUCACUCAACGUGGCCUCUUGAUGCAAUCAAGACUCAGAGAACACCACAUGUUAAGUGGCAAAGCACAGCUUACUACUUUAUAGUAAACUUUUAAAAAACACAUAGAAAAGCUACGUUUCAAAAUAAUCAUAAAGUAAAUAUAUGCACCAGUAACAGUCAUUGAUUAUCAUUAUAAGUAUUAUAUAAUGCUGGGCUGGGGGAUGUGGCUCAAGUGGUAGCACGCUCGCCUGGCAUGCGUGCAGCCGGGUUUGAUCCUCAGCACCAUAUACAAACAAAGAUGUUGUGUCCGCCGAAAACUAAAAAAUAAAUAUUAAAAAAUUCUCUCUCUCUCUCUCUCUCUCUCUCUCUCUCUAAAAAAAAAAAAAAAGUAUUAUAUAAUGCUCAUUAGGGUAUGUGUUACACUUUUUCGGGGAGGUCAGUACUGGAGAUUGAACCCAGGGGCACUCAACCACUGAACCACAUCCCCAACCCUUUUUUGUAUUUUAUUUAGAGACAGGGUCUCACUGAGUUGCUUAGCACCUCACUUUUGCUGAGGCUGGCUUUGAAUUUGUAAUCCUCCUACCUCAGUCUUCCAAGUCACUGGGAUUAUAAACAUGCACAACCACACCCACCUUGUGUUAUACUUUUUUUAAAAUAUUUUUUUUAGUUGUAGAUGGACACAAUACCUUUAUCUUAUUUGUUUAUUUUUAUGUAGUGCAGGGUCAAAUCCAGUGCCUCAUGAAUGCUAGGCAAGUGCUCUACCACUGAGCCACAACCCCAGCCCCUUGUGUUUCACUUUUGUAAAACUGGCAGUGCCGUAGGUUUGUUCACACCAGCAUCACCACAGACGUGAGGAAUGCACUGUGAUAUGAUGGUAUGAAGGCCACAGUAUCACUAGGUAACAGGAAUUUUUCAGCUUUAUUGAAAUCUUAGGGGACUACCAUCAUACAUGUGGUCUAUCAUUUGUCUGAGAUAAGGCUCUGUUGUGCAUGCCUAUAUUUUGGAUCCUGACCUUGAGGACUCGGGCAUGUUACAUAACCUCCCUGAACCUUAGGUUCCUCACCUAUCUAUGGGUAUUAUGAGGAUUAAAUAAAAUAGUUCAUGCAAAAUACACAAUGUAUACAGUAAAUUAAUGACAUAAUUUUUUAAAUGAAAAUAACUGAUAGCAUUGAAAUUUGCAACAGCAGACCCAAAUACCUUUGAAAAACUGAGCAAAAGAAAUAUGAAUGAGCACCAGGGCCAGUGUCGGCUUGGUUCUCCUGCUCUCCCUGCAAAUGUGGCCUGUGGAGUAGGAGAUUUGGGGAGAAAAAUAAGAAGAUCUUGUGGCGCCAAAAGGACUUUAGGGAUCAUGGGUCAUUUGGGCCCGUCAUGUUCCCUUUUGUUCCUAGAGAUUUAAUAUCUACCUACCCAUCGAAUGGCCAUGAUUUGGGAGGCAGAAGACAAGAAGAGGAAUAGCUUUCAGCUGGCUUCGUCUUUAAAUAACUGGGGGUGCAAAACUUUUUAAACACAAAGGGGACCAUGUGUAAAACAUUAGUUAAAUUCAGAUAUAAAUCUAGUCUUUGACCAGUCCAGAGCUAAUCAAUAUGCUUUUCUACUCUCUUUGAACUUGCAGUUUUCUGGCAAUAACAAAAAUCCCAAAUCCCAUCCAAAACCAUAGUCCAGACAGCCCAACUUCGAUACUCCCCUCCCUCCUGUCACAUAUUGUUGACAGAACUGCUCUUGUUACCACAUUCAUUCCAGUGGUGAUUCAAAUUCUUCUGAAAAGAAAAAAAAAAAAUCAGGGUAGGGGGCUUGAAAGACAGAAAAUUGCUCUUUUAAUCACUUAAUAAGGAAUCCUGCACAAAGAAUAUGCAGCUUUGAAUAUGGGUUUGCUCAGCUUUAUGGAUGCCUUUUUCUCAGUUAUUUUUAUUGAAAAUCAUGAUGAACUAAUUUAAAUAGCAAGGUAAUCUAAGAUAGAAAAUCACCCAUAUUUUGAUUAAAAUAUAGACUGGGCCCUUAUAAGCACAUCAAGGACACUUUUUAAUGCUACAAAUUCACGUAUAUGUGAAAUGUGCUUGUUUAACUGUGACAGUUUUAAGCAAAACUAAGCUACUCUGUUCCUUUCCAGAAUUCAAGUAUUUGAUUUGGAAAAAACCCAUGCACUUUGAUUUACAAAGCAGAGGGGGAAGUAAGUAGUGGGUGAGAAAGACCCGCCCAAAGACUGCAGCCAGCUUCCCUAGGAAGAUUCAUGACCAUGCCUCAAUACUGUCUUGCAAUUUCGUUCCAACAGAUUUUACUGUAACUCUAAAUCAUUAAAAUCAACUGCUGCUGUUCCCAGUGCUAUCUUUGCCUCAAAAAGAGGAAAAUUCAGGACAUGCAUUCUAAUCCCCUUGCUAUCUGGGAGAGAAGUCAGCACAUUUGUCAUAAAAACUGAAGAACAUCAGCUGAGUAGUUUACUAAACAUGAGAGCUUCAUACCUCAAUGUCACAUAGCUUUUGAAAAUAAAUAAAGUGAGCACACACAGAGGUGGGUGAAUUCAACAGUAAUAAAGUGGCUUAAAUUGGGUUAAUUGAAUAUAAUCUACAAAAAAAAAAAAAAACAUUCUAAUGCUAAGCAGAGUGGCUCAAGCACACCUGUAAUCCCAGAGACUGGGAAGGCUGAGGCAAGAGGAUGUCAAGUUCAAAGCCAGCCUCAGCAAUUUAGCGAGGCCCUAAACAAUUUAGAGAGAACUUGUCUCAAAAAGAAAGAAAGAAAGAAAAAGAAAAGAAAGAGAGAGAGAGACUCAGGUAUAAAGGUAUAACUCAGGUAUAAAGCGCUCCUGGUUUCCAUCCCCAGUACAAAAAAUAAAUAAAUAAAAUCUAUUACUAAUUCUUUCCAGAAAAAGGUAAGAAAAGCCAGGCAUGGUGGAGCAUGUUUUUAAUCCCAGCUAUUUAGGACACUGAAACAGGAGAAUCAAAAGUUCAAGGCCAGCCCCAGCAAUUUAGGGAAACCCUAUCUCAAAAUAUGUAGAGUUGAGGAUGUAGUUCAGUGGUAGAGCACUCCUGAGCUCAAUCCCCAGGACACUCCCUCCCCCAAAAACACUAAGACAAAUCCAGACUUUUUUUUUUUUGUACUGGUGAUUGAGCCCAGGGGUGCUUUACCACUGAGCUACAUCCCCCUGCCCUUUUUAUUUUUAGCUAAGUUGCUUAGGGUCUAAGUUGCUGAGGCUGUCUUUGAACUUGAGAUCCUCCUUCCUUGACCUCCCAAAUUUCUGGGAUUACAGGCAUGCCCCACAGUGCCUGGCCCAUCAAUUUUUUUUUUUUAAUGUUCUGAGCUAUGUCCAACAAGUGAAUCCUUUCCCUUACCAAAUGUCUAGACAUUUAUAUAAAGCAGGGUAAUUAUAUUGUGGAGAGGGUAACUGAGGGCAGUGCUAACACCAAGUUCCUCUUUUUGACUUGAAUGACUUCUCCAUUAGGGCUGUUGUUCCUCCACAGUGCCUCUGGGAUGAAGUGACUUUGAAUGGUCAUCUGCCUUGCAAUUCAACUAGCAGCAUGGGCAUGACCCAUUGCCAGAGAGAAGCUGGUAUAAUCUUGGGUCUACCUAACUCUUACUGGCUCAUAAACUGCAUUUUAACAGGAUCCCCAAGGGAUUCAUAUGCACAUUAGAGGUUAAAAUAUGCCAUUCUAAAUUAUUCCCCUGCCUCCAAGCAAAAUCGAACACAAUGGUUAAACUCAUGCAACCUCUGUCAGGUCCUUUGUAAAAUGUCCUGUUUGAGUCAUUGAGAGGAAAGGGGAAAUAUGCUUAUUCAAGGAAGUCUUGCAUAACAUAACAAAGUUAGCAACUUCUUCAAUACAUUCAAGUACCUAUUCUUGGAAGCCCUGCAGAUUAGGUGGAAGGAAGGAGCAGCAGAAAAAUGGAGUGGGUUCAACUAGCAAGCUGGAAUCAAGUAAGAGUAGCACAGAAGCUGAGUCUAUGAAGGAUGGGAGGAAUAAUUUCACCAAAUUAUCAGAUCCAAAAUUGGCUCUACACUGUGGAUGAUUUAUUGCUCUGGAAGCUUAAAGGCUUGAGUCUCCUGCUGCAUUUCAUUUCAGAUUAGUAAUUUUUAUCUAGUGCUUCCCUGUGGUUUAAAAUGAAUGCCCCGGAAUUACUAAAAUGAAAUUAUCAGAUGAUUUGUAUGCUCAUUCUGUAGUUAUCCUGUAAGUUUCCUAUUUGUAACAAGACUGGAAUCCAGACAAUAGAAAACUCUGUUAACUGGAGCUCAACCUGUUGGCUUCAAACUGAUGGAUCUGGGAUAGUUGUGUGUGAGUGUUCCAGUGAUCCUCAAACAUAGCUGCACUUUAGAAUCACCUGGAUAGAAUUUUUUUAAAAUGGUUUUCUUGGGUAUAACUGACAUACAAUAAGCCACAUGUCUUUAAGCAUACAACUGAGUUUUGAUAUAUAUUAUACGCCCAUUAAACAUUAUCACAAUCAAGUUCAUCACCCUCAAAAUUUCCUCUUGUACUAUCUCCCCCAAUCCUUCAACCACUGAUCUGCUUCCCAUCAUUAUAGAUUAGUUUGCAUUUUGUAGAAUUUUAUAUAAAUCGAGCCAUACUGUAUGUACUCUUUCUUUGAAUGAGGUGUGUUUAGCUUCUUUCACUCAGUGAAUUGUUCUGAGGUUCAUCUAUGUUGUUUUAUGCUUUUAUGGUUUGUCCUUGUUAUUGAUGAGUGGUAUUCCACUAUAUGGAUGAAUUGCAGUUUGUCUUUUCACAAUUGAUAUUGAAGAACAUUUGGGCUAUUUAUUUUCUUCUUUCUUUUUUAGUUUUCCAAUACUGGGGAUUGAACCCAGAGGCUCUCUACCACUGAGCCACAUCACCAGUCGCCCCAUCCCCCCACCCCCCUUACCCCCCAACCUUUUCAGGUUUUUAAAAUUUUGAGGUAGGAUUUCACUAAAAUUCUCGACUGGCCUGGAAUUUGCAAUCCUCCUGCCUCAGACUCCAAAGAGACUGGGAUUCUAGGCAUGAACCACCCCACCCAGCUUCCCUUAUAGUACUUUCAAUAUCUGUGGAAUCUGUAGUGAUGUCACUUCUCUCAUUCUUGAUGUUGUCUUCCUUUUCAGUCCAGGUAAAGCCUAUCAAUUUUAUUGGUCUUUUCAAAGAAUCACAUUUUAGUUUCAUUGAUUUUUCUCUAUUGUUUUUGUUUUGUAUUUUAUUGAUUUCUUUUUUGCUCUUUAUUUACAUUCUGCUUAGAUUGGGCUUAAUUUGUUCUUUUUCUAGUUGUAUAAUGUAGAAUCUGAGGCCAUUGAUUUGAGACCUUCCUUAUUUUCUAAUAAAAGUGUUUAGUGCUACAAAUUUCUCUGCAAAUAUGUUUUAGAUGAGUGUCACAAAUUUUGGUAUCAAGCAUGUUCAUUUAGUUCCAACAAUUUCCUCAUUUCCUUUCUGAUGUCUUCUUUGAAUUAUGGAUUAUUUUGAAUUAUAUAAUUUUGUAUCCAGAUAAUUUAAUAUUCCCCAGAUAUUUUCUGUUAUUCAUAAUUAGUUUAACUCCACUAUGAUCAGAAAACCCAUUUUGUCUCAUUUGAAACUUUUUUAACUUCUUAAGGUUUAUUUUAUGGCCUAGAAAAUGGUCAGUCUAUCUUGGAAAAGUUUUCUAUGUGCACUUGGAAAGAAUUUAUACACUGAUGUUGAUGCUUGCAAUGUUUCAAAAAUGCCAAUUCAGGGGCUGGGGUUGUGGCUCAGACCAUCUCACGAGCGAAGUGUGGACGCUUCGGGACCCAAGCUAGGAGUCGUUGUGUAUUUUUAUUUAUUUAUUUUAUUUCCAUAAAAAUUUUUCUCAUGACCCACCCUCUGUUUUAUUUAGCCUAAAAUUUUUUAUUUAUUUAUACAGUUAAGUCAGUUUAGUCGACUAUCACAGUAAGUACAGAAGAUAUGGGAACGAUUAAAAGACAGAUGUACCAGAUAGUUAAUAACUCUCUUUCCAUAUCUUUAGAGAUUGGUCUUAACGACUAGAUAAAUAAAGAGGAAAUACCAAGAAUUGUAGGGAUACGGUUUUGGUGUAUGGUAUGAAUAAUUAAGUUCUAGAGACCCCCCUAAUGGGUCCGUAGUUAUAAUAGGAAAGAAUAUCAAUGACUUCACUAAAGUUAUACAUCGAUAUCAACACUUGACGAGGGAAUCUUCUAUGUACAAUACAUAAGUUGUCUAAGUCCUUUACUCGUCAAUUUAGGUAAUCUACGGUCUUUGAAGGAAACUCCACCCGUAAUCAGUGAGAAGUAAAUUGUCUCUUACUUUAACUCACAACCUGUUAAUAAGUCCAAAUGUGUAGACUAAUCUAGAUCGACCCAUAAAUUUGGGUCCAAAGACUUGAGUUUUCAAAUAACGAAACGAAAAAAUAUAUAUAGUAUAUAUAAAGCAAGACACUUCACGUAAAUAACUGAGCUUCAGAUAGACACAAAAAGAUUAUGUGAUACGACCUCGGUGUAGAUUGGGUUGGGAAUACUAAAAGUGACCUGGAUGACGUCACAGACGUGUCACCUCUACUAAGAUUCCAAAAAGAAAAAGGAGAACUUUCUAGAUUCAUAGACCCAAGACGACUGGUAUAUCAUAAGUAGUUAGACAGAAAAAGUAUCAGGUAGGUAUUAGAUCUCAAAGUGGGACUGUAUGUACGAGAAGAGGUUUUUUUUUUGGAAGAGUCCGAUGUCUACGAGUCGGACGAAGUGAGGCAAUUACGUGCUGUGACCGUCGGUCCUCGGGUUAAAAUGGGACUCGACACGGUGUUCAAGUCCUCUAAUACUCUUAUCGAACCCUACCCACGUAGAAGACACACCUUUCAAACAGAACUAAAACACUAAAGUUCAUGACCUUGACAUAAUAAUUAAUUGAACCGGUUCUCUACUAAAAAAUUUUUAGUUCUUACUAAACUUAGUAAGAAGGUCCACUCAACGAUUCCACGGAGGUCCCUUUCCUAUCCAAUUUUUUUUUUACCUAGUAAGUACAAAUUCUCUGUUCCGUGUAAGGUUUUUCUAUCUCUCUUUCCAAUUAUCCAUAGAGAACCCGUAAGAAGAAGGGAGGGAGAGAGAGUGAGUCGAUAGGAGUCGAAGUUAUAUCUGAUUACUUAGAACACUCAAACAAAGAAAAGUAUUUAUAAGUUGUAAUGUUUAGAAGAGGGUCUUUUUGAUUGAGGGAAGUAAUAUCUAUUCAGUGUAAACUAGAGUUCUGAAGUAUCAACAAAUGAAUUGAAAGAGAUACAAAGAUUACAAAAGAAUCAAUAACAGGUUUAAUUUUUUUGUUGGUGUUUUUCAAUCUCAAACCAUAAAAAAUUCCUAAAUAAAAAAUACUUUUGUCUAAAUGUUGUUGUAUUAAAAAAAAAGAAAAAGGGUACCACAACCCCUAGCUUGGGGGUCCCGAAACACACACGAUCCGUUCGUCAGAUGGUGACUCACUGUGGGGGUCGAGAUGUGAUUUUUAUAAAAUUUUCUUUUAAUGGUGGGUGUAAAGGCGAUGAAUGGUUUGGUGAAAGAGAAAGGGGUCUAAAUGAAGUAGAAGUUAGUUUACACCUUUAUCAAAUUUCUUUAUAUUUCAAGUACUUAAAAAAAAUAAACAAGAAAAAUCUAUAUCACUGUUAUCUUACGUAAAACUGUAUAAAUACAUGCAUGCAGUAUAACUUCCCAUUCUUGUGAUUGUCCAUGAUGUGGGGUUACACUGGUCAUGUAUUCAUAUAUGAACACAGGAGAGUUAUGUCCAAUUCAUUCUGUCUUUCCUAUUCCCAUCCCCCCUCCUUUCCCUUUAUCCCCCUUUGUCUAAUCCACUAAACUUCCAUACAUAACCUCCCCCACCAAAGUUCAUAUAAUUACUACAUUUCACUUUUUUUGUUUAACAUCACUUAAUAAACACUUUUCCUUAUUCUUGCAUAGUCUCCCUAUGUAUCUUUUUUUGGAUCUUCAUGGUUUUCUGUGAAUAUACCUUCAUCCAUUUAACCACUUCCCCUGUGGCUCUGAAUUAGCUUGUUUUCAGUUUUCUCUAUCAUAAGCAAUUCUGCUAUAAAAGCCUAGUAUAUAGAAAUGUUUUCCUCUUCUUCUUGAGAAUUAUUUCUGUGGUAGAAAGUUCCAAGAGUGCUAUCAGCAUGUUAAAGAGUUAGAAUGAUUUUAAGGGAUACUGAGUCUUUGAAAUGGCAAUCAAGUUCAUAGCCCAUGUCAUAUCUUGAUUUAUAAAAUUAUUUACAGCACAGGAUGGCUAAGAUACUUCCCAACACAGCACUCACUCUCUGUUCUCAGACCCCAGAAUGACUCAGGGUAUGCAAGAUUAAUCGGUCUACAUCAUCUUAGUCUUUAUUCCACUAAAGCCCACUAAGAAAAUUCGCCAUUUCCUUCCACAAUUUAAAUGACACGCUUGCAGAAUAAGCCUUGAGAAAUUCCAAAACAAAACCAGGGAGCAAACCAAAGACCCACUUCCUGAGAUAAAUGUUGUCUUAUAAAUGCAUUAAAGAGCACGAUGUGUGUGGCAGGCAGGGCUGUGGGAAGGGGGCUCAGGUCAGAUAUGAUUGGAACGCCUGUGUCACAGUUGUCUCCUGUAAACUGGUCUCUGAGAGCUGGGUCAAGGCAGCCAAGUUGAAAGCCAAACACAGACAGCAGCUGUUGAGGAUGUAGUUAGUCUCUGGACGGAGUGGAUAGGGAGCUGGGUGUGGUCACCCAGAAGCCAAUUUCCACCCCGCCCUACAGGCCCGGUGACUAGGGCUUAGAUGAGAGAACUCCCCAUGUUGCAUUCCAGUCCUCCUGACUGGGCUUAGUGACAAUGCUGGAGACUGACUGCAAGCUGCCUGAUGGCACUGCAUGCCUCUCCCUUAAUGAUAUCCCCCCUAGAAGACGUGGAGGCUUCUGAGAAUACCAUAUCCAGAGAGCCAGGAUGCAGGACUCACCAGCAAUUGCCACCAUAAGAGCUAUAUUCUUUGUUGUGAGGUCCAAGUCCAUCCUACUACUGUCCUCAAGGGAUUGAGGGAAAGUGCAAGGUAUUUGUGGGUCUUUUCUACAUUGCACAAGUGCUAAACUGCAGAGGAAACACCGUCCCCUUCCACGUUUUCCCAGAAUGUCUGUCAAGAGCCCUAUGAGCUGCUUCACUGAGCAGAGAAUCUUCAUUACUCAUUUCAACAUCACUUUUCUUGGAAACCUUGACUGUGCUACUCUCCAGAAAUAAUCCAUCAAACUUUUCUCUUUGUUGAAGUCAUCCUGCAAAAACUCCCAUCAUCGAAUUCCCCACAUUAGGAUCCCUCUUCAUUAUGUAACAACAGACAAGUGCAGAUCAGACACUGAUAUCUUUUUAUUAUUAUUAUUAUUUCUUUCUCUCUUUUAACUUUGUAUCAUGAAAAACUUCAAACACACACAAAGUGAGAAAGAAUGAAAUAAUGAACUCCCAGAUACCCAACCACCGAGCUUGGACAGUCUCUACCAAUGCCAAUCUUGUUUUUCAUCUAUCGCCCCCACCCCCACAACUAUGCAUGCUAUUCAUUUUUUUACUGGAAUUUUUAAAAGCAAAUCCCAGAUGCGACAUCAUUUCACUCAUAAAUACUUCAGCAUGGGGGCUGGGGAUGUGGCUCAAGCGGUAGCGCGCUCGCCUGGCAUGCGUGCGGCCCGGGUUCGAUCCUCAGCACCACAUACAAAGAAAGAUGUUGUGUCCGCCAAAUACUAAAAAUAAAUAAAUAAAUAUUAAAAUUCUCUCUCUCUCUCUCACUCUCUCUUUAAAAAAAAAUACUUCAGCAUGCAUCUCUAACUAAUGAGGACUUUCCUUUCUAACAUAACCUCAGUAGGCACUAGUAUUUAUUUAUAUCUACUGAUAUCUAUGUAUUAUUUAGUAUUAGUGCAAUAAACCAUGUAAACUCUAUAUGUCUUUUAUUUUAUGAAAUGUCUGUCAGCAGAGAAACACUUUGGAAAUUCAUAAAUUCCCCCAGGAGAAAUAAAGAAGGAAAUGACCUGGCCCAAAGAAAAUUACUAUAUGCAUUUUACUCAUGAGGAAAAGUGCUCAGCCAAUUCAGGGUAAGCUGCAGCCCAGGAUCCUUUGGGAGCUUGGAGCGAGAGGCCUGUCAGAGCCUGACUGCUCCAUCCCCUUUGGAUAUGCAGUGUGUUUCAAAAGGGCAUUGCUUCCUCAUCUGAAAAUCACUUUUAAAAAAAAAUAAUUUACACCUAUAAUUCAAAGUUCUUUUGUCAAGAUAGAAGCAGCCAGCCUUCAUGUGCCUUAAAAAUUGACACCAUUCAACAGAAGAGCUUUAAAAAAUCCAGUUUAGGCGUCUACUAGUUCCACUUGUAUGUAUAUGGAGCAGAGGGGAACUAUUGCUUUACACAAAAGCAUUCACAGUGUGUUUGGUGUGUGCUCUUCCUCUGCCAUCUCUGCACCUAAUCUCUACUAUCUAUGCUCAGGAGAGUAGGCAGAGCAGUGACAUUGGUUUGACUUAGUGACUUACUUCAGUAAAAGUGGGAACUUCAUGAACAUAGUUUGGAAUGAGGCUUUGCGUUAAGGACAGGCUGAUAAACCCAUCCCAAGUCACCAAGAUCCCACACAGGCUUUGGGCUGCUACCUGUAGUCAGGCCUUCUAGAGAGUCACAACACAAUGUCUAUUUUUCCUUCAAAGACUAUGCUUUUUUGUCACUUCCCUCCUCCCGGGUCUUCUCAUCAUUUUAUACAAGAGCAUACCAGGGAUUAGGUGUCAUUAUACAAGAAGCUGCCAGGAGCUACAGUCGUGGGUGAGGGACACAAGCUGAAACUGGAGCAGCACUGCACACAGGGCUACCUGUAAAAUGAGCAAUUUGGCUGGGCGCAGUGGUGCACGCCUGUAACCCAGUGGUUCAGGAGGCUGAGACAGGAGGAUCACAAGUUCAAAGCCAGCCUCAGCAACUUAGGUCCUAAUAAACUCAGUGAGACCCUGUGUCUAAAUAACAUACAAAAAAAGGGGUAGAGAUGUGGCUCUGUGGUUAAGUGCCUCUGGAUUCAAACCUCAGUGCAAAAAAAAAAAAAAGAGCAGUUUGCAUAUGCUUUGAUAGACAGUCAUCCCACCCAAACACCCUUUAGAUACUGACAUGACUUACUCCUCUGCCCACUUUGCUUCUUUCAGAUCUCUGAACAAGUAGGAGAUGCUUCCCUGAUCACUCUGCAUCAGAGAGCAAUCCACUGCCACUCUCAAGCCCUUGUUUGUCUCUGUACCCCUUUUACAACCUGAGUUACACUCAUUUUUGGUUGUUGGUUUUGGUCACUGCUAGAUUCACCCCCUUGACAAUACACAACUAGAACAGCAAGUUUUCAACACACACAUGCGGAAUGAAAGAUCUUCUUCAGAACACUAUCUUGACCUUUUCUUCUACCACAUGUGGCUGAUCAAAGUGGGCAGUGAUCACAGAAAGUUCCUUUGAAGAGGAGGGACUCCACAGCCCAAAGUGAGAUACAGAUGAACUCUCCAGAACCAACACUCACUCUGAAAAUCUAGCUGUUCUGAUAGGAGUCUCUCCUUAAAUCUCUGUUCUCGUGAAUGCUGCAGAGCUUCUGACGGCCAGCUCGCAGAAGCAUGUCCUUUGUUCCUGGACCUUGUUUCUGCCCUGAAGGAUCUACGUGACUCUUCCCAACUGCCUGACGCUAGCAAACUUUCAAGCACGUACGCUUUAAGAAUAAUAUAUCCCUCUCAGAACUACCCCACUGAAAGGUGUUCCUUCAACAACAGAAAGAUUUAUUACUUUCUUCCUCCACAGAAAAACCACAGAAAUAUUUCCUUCUUGACUGCAGCAGUGAGUUCCAAGUUUCAUUAAAGAACUGACCAGAUGCUUCCUCCUAGCUUGUGUGGGAAGGAGUUAAGAUAAAGAGCAUUUGAAAUUCUACCUCUGCACACCUGCUUCAUACCUUAUUCUUUUCUGGCAUGACUUCUUCCUGUUCCCCUGGGGUCAGAGCUGUGGGACCUGCCUCCCCAGGCAGCUGGGGCUCUGGGUCCUCCCUGGCCACCCCUCCCUCUGGUAUUAAUAAUAGAUGACUCUUAUUGAAUUGUGCACCUGCUGUAAAACAGGCACUGCACUUUACAAAUUGGCUCAAAUUCUUGACCCCAACAUUGGAAAAGAACUGUAACCUGAGUGUCUGCUGCCUGGACAACUUCUGUAUUCACAGCAGCAGAAUCUACCCUCUGCCUCGGCCACCAAGCAUCAUUUUCUUCCAGUAUAUUUGCAGAAAGACAAUUAGUUUCUCAUCUCCAGAGCCAGUCCCUGCUGCAGCCUGUUCUUCUUUCACUUGGCUAGCGCUGCUGCUCCCUGUACUAUGGACCCUGGCCUAUGACUCAGGGCUGUCGUCUUCUCUUGAUAUGACACUGAUGAUGGCCUCAAGGCUGUUGUAGACAGAAUAAUGAUCUACGAGAAUAUCUACAGCCUGGAACCUGUGAAUAUGCUUCCUUACAAGGACUUUGCUGAUGUGAUUAAGUUAAGAACCUUGAGAUGGGGAGAUUAUCUUGGAUUAGCAUACAGUAAGCACCAAGCAAACACAGGGAUCCUUAUAAGGGAAAGAGGAAGGCAGGAGAGUCAGAAUCAGAAGAGUCAUCUUCUGGGAGCAGAGGUCAGAGUGAUGCAAAGAAGAGCCAAGGAAUGCAGCCAGACUUGGGAAGCUGAAAGGACAAGGACACAUUUUUCCCUGUGAGCUCCAGAAGGCACAUAGAUAUGGCACUUUGAUUUUUUGGUCUUAGGACCUCUGGACCAGGAAUAUAAUAAAUGUGUGAUAUUUUAGGUCACUAAAUUUGUGACCAGUCAUAGGAAACUGAUACAAAGAAGAACCACACUGUUCUAGGUGCUGGGAAUAGAGCAGUGAACACAGAAGACAAAUGUCUUCUUACGUGCUUACAUUCUAAUGACACCCACCUUCGUGAUGUCUGCAUUCAACAGGGUUCAUCCAACCCUUGCUCCUCUUCCCCAAAUAGAUAACCUGUAAGAUACAGAUAACACACAAUGAUGCAUUUCUCAGCCCAAGUUACUCAGGAAUAGUUAUCUAAUUCCCAGAAUAAUCUAUGGUGGAGUUCAUUUCUCCAGAUCUUGUUCUUUUCAGGAUUCCUCUGUCAGUGUGAGGUCAAGGUGCCCCUCUUCAUUCUUUGUAUGAUCUCUAUGAGUAACAUCUCUCUCUCUCUCUCUCUCUCUCUCUCUCUCCCCCCUCCCUCACACACACACACACACACACGUAUACACACAGGAACUGUACACAAGAAGACAAUCAGUUUCCACCUGAUUGUCUUCUUAUUGAUGAGGGAGUCUUGCUAAAGGCAGUAUAUUCAAUAUUAUUGAUGAGGGAGUCUUGCUAAAGGUAGCAUAUUCUAUCCAACUAAAUAAAGAUAUGCCUUCACUUUUGCUAUGUGGAGUAGCCCGUCACCUUUUCUCACCUGUAGACUGUUCAGAGACUACCUCUGAAAUGCUGUCUACUAUGCUUUCAUAAAAGCAAAGACCUCCAUUCAUAGUCAUCACCUUUGCUACCCAGAGAACUGGUAGAAACUGGGUAGAUGAGCUUUUUCUUUUUCUUUUCUAGAGCUGGGGGUCAACUAGGGCCUUAUGCAGACCAGUACUCUCCCAGGGAGCCACAUCCNNNNNNNNNNNNNNNNNNNNNNNNNNNNNNNNNNNNNNNNNNNNNNNNNNNNNNNNNNNNNNNNNNNNNNNNNNNNNNNNNNNNNNNNNNNNNNNNNNNNNNNNNNNNNNNNNNNNNNNNNNNNNNNNNNNNNNNNNNNNNNNNNNNNNNNNNNNNNNNNNNNNNNNNNNNNNNNNNNNNNNNNNNNNNNNNNNNNNNNNNNNNNNNNNNNNNNNNNNNNNNNNNNNNNNNNNNNNNNNNNNNNNNNNNNNNNNNNNNNNNNNNNNNNNNNNNNNNNNNNNNNNNNNNNNNNNNNNNNNNNNNNNNNNNNNNNNNNNNNNNNNNNNNNNNNNNNNNNNNNNNNNNNNNNNNNNNNNNNNNNNNNNNNNNNNNNNNNNNNNNNNNNNNNNNNNNNNNNNNNNNNNNNNNNNNNNNNNNNNNNNNNNNNNNNNNNNNNNNNNNNNNNNNNNNNNNNNNNNNNNNNNNNNNNNNNNNNNNNNNNNNNNNNNNNNNNNNNNNNNNNNNNNNNNNNNNNNNNNNNNNNNNNNNNNNNNNNNNNNNNNNNNNNNNNNNNNNNNNNNNNNNNNNNNNNNNNNNNNNNNNNNNNNNNNNNNNNNNNNNNNNNNNNNNNNNNNNNNNNNNNNNNNNNNNNNNNNNNNNNNNNNNNNNNNNNNNNNNNNNNNNNNNNNNNNNNNNNNNNNNNNNNNNNNNNNNNNNNNNNNNNNNNNNNNNNNNNNNNNNNNNNNNNNNNNNNNNNNNNNNNNNNNNNNNNNNNNNNNNNNNNNNNNNNNNNNNNNNNNNNNNNNNNNNNNNNNNNNNNNNNNNNNNNNNNNNNNNNNNNNNNNNNNNNNNNNNNNNNNNNNNNNNNNNNNNNNNNNNNNNNNNNNNNNNNNNNNNNNNNNNNNNNNNNNNNNNNNNNNNNNNNNNNNNNNNNNNNNNNNNNNNNNNNNNNNNNNNNNNNNNNNNNNNNNNNNNNNNNNNNNNNNNNNNNNNNNNNNNNNNNNNNNNNNNNNNNNNNNNNNNNNNNNNNNNNNNNNNNNNNNNNNNNNNNNNNNNNNNNNNNNNNNNNNNNNNNNNNNNNNNNNNNNNNNNNNNNNNNNNNNNNNNNNNNNNNNNNNNNNNNNNNNNNNNNNNNNNNNNNNNNNNNNNNNNNNNNNNNNNNNNNNNNNNNNNNNNNNNNNNNNNNNNNNNNNNNNNNNNNNNNNNNNNNNNNNNNNNNNNNNNNNNNNNNNNNNNNNNNNNNNNNNNNNNNNNNNNNNNNNNNNNNNNNNNNNNNNNNNNNNNNNNNNNNNNNNNNNNNNNNNNNNNNNNNNNNNNNNNNNNNNNNNNNNNNNNNNNNNNNNNNNNNNNNNNNNNNNNNNNNNNNNNNNNNNNNNNNNNNNNNNNNNNNNNNNNNNNNNNNNNNNNNNNNNNNNNNNNNNNNNNNNNNNNNNNNNNNNNNNNNNNNNNNNNNNNNNNNNNNNNNNNNNNNNNNNNNNNNNNNNNNNNNNNNNNNNNNNNNNNNNNNNNNNNNNNNNNNNNNNNNNNNNNNNNNNNNNNNNNNNNNNNNNNNNNNNNNNNNNNNNNNNNNNNNNNNNNNNNNNNNNNNNNNNNNNNNNNNNNNNNNNNNNNNNNNNNNNNNNNNNNNNNNNNNNNNNNNNNNNNNNNNNNNNNNNNNNNNNNNNNNNNNNNAUCCAACUAAAUAAAGAUAUGCCUUCACUUUUGCUAUGUGGAGUAGCCCGUCACCUUUUCUCACCUGUAGACUGUUCAGAGACUACCUCUGAAAUGCUGUCUACUAUGCUUUCAUAAAAGCAAAGACCUCCAUUCAUAGUCAUCACCUUUGCUACCCAGAGAACUGGUAGAAACUGGGUAGAUGAGCUUUUUCUUUUUCUUUUCUAGAGCUGGGGGUCAACUAGGGCCUUAUGCAGACCAGUACUCUCCCAGGGAGCCACAUCCCUAGCGCUUGGAUGUGCUUUUUCAAUAUACUCUGCCUCAUCACAUUUCUACUUAGGGCUUCUCCUUCACUACAGUCCCCACUAGGAAAUGAAUCCACACUCCCUGUCCCCUAUUUAUAGUAAGCCCUCAAGAGUUAUGGUUACAAGAUUUUUCUUCUAGUUAUAGAAAGGAACACCUGGGUGCUUUUGUGUGUGUGUCAGCGGAGAUUGAAUCCAAGGCCUCUCAUGUGCUAGACAAGUGCUUCAUCGCUGAGAUACCUCCUUAGCCCUCUUUUUUUUUUUUGGUACCGAGGUUUGAAGUCAGGGGCAUUUAACCACUGAGCCACAUCCUCAGUCCUUUUUUGUAUUUUAUUUAGAGACAGGGUCUCACUGAGUUGCUUAGGGCCUUGCUAAGUUGCUAAGGCUGGCUUUGAACUUGCAGUCCUCCUGCCUCUGUCUCCCAAGCCACUGGGAUUACAGGCGUGCACCACUGCACCCAGCCGCAGCAUUUUUUUUUUUUAAUUGAUUACUCAAGCUAGUCUCAGCUUCUCAAAUUGCUGGGAUUACAGGCGUGUGCCACUGCACCCUGAUAGUACCUCAUUUUAAUCACGUAUAAAUAAUUGUUUCCUCCUCUUUCACAGAUUUUUUUUUUUCCAAACAAAGAAUGAAGGCAGACAGACUUGGCGGUACAUGCCUCCUCUAAUCCCAGUGACUCAAGAGAGUGAGGCAGGAGGAUCAUAAGUUCAAGGCCAGCCUGGGCAACUUAGUGAGACUCAGUAACUUAGAAGACCCUGUCUCAAAGAAAAAAAAAAAAGGACUGGGAAUAUUGCUCAGUGGUAAAGUGCCCCUGGGUUCAAUCUCCAGUACCAAAAAAAGAAAAAGAAAAGAAAAAGAAAGAAAUGGAGGCAAUUCCAAUAAACCACAGGCACCUAGAGCAGAUUACUUUGAUGUAAACAAACUUUAACUUGGGGCACUAAGGAAUUUCAGAAGGAAGAAUUGUUGGCUGUAGAUUCCAAUUAGGUUUGCCAUCAUUAGCUAUAUGAUGUUGGUUACAGAGUAAUUAUUGUAAUAUAAAUAAUAAUACAUUUUUAUGUGUUUACUAGGUGCCAGGAACUUUACUAAAAAUUUUAUUUGCAUUAAAUCGUUUAAUCCUUACCAAUGAGGUUGGGACUAUUAUUAUCCACAUUUUACAGAUGAAGAGAUUGUGGCUGUGAGAGAUUAAGAAAAUUGCUUUAAGAUCAUACCACUAAUAGGUGGCAAAGCCAGGGCUCAAACAGGUUUGCCUGACCCUCACACACGAACCACUAUGCCAUACUGCUUUAGAGUGCUUUAGUAACUGGAAGGCCAUCAAUGAUGGUCUUCUGCCUCCAUUUCCAAUUUAAAGUGAAAAUGCUAAAGGAGAAAAAGGACAGAUUCAUGACCAAAUUCUUUGACUGUGACUGUUUUUUAUAAACAGAUGAGAAGAAAACUGAAAAACCAUGAAGAAAAUAUGUGUGUGUGUAUGUAUGUAUGUAUGUAUUUAUUUAUUUAUCAGUGCCGUGCCAUGGUAAGUUUGCAAAAUUUGUGGUUUAUGGUCAAGAGCAAUGUAGAGACUAGUGGCAACAUUUAUUUUGAAAGUGUCAAGGACUGCCACCUCCACUUAGAUGCCUUUAAUAAAUGACAGUCUAAAAUACUCUAAAGAGAAUCCCAGCAAAGACUACAAGCCAAGAAUCCUUGGCUUACAAAAUAAUGGGGGCUGCUUCUUCCCAAGUUACCAUGCACAGAAGCAAAACUUGGCAGAAUCUGAAACAAAGGAUUUUGAUCCUGUUCCUACCGUUGCUUCCAGAGAAGGAAGCAAAACAAACCACGGGUUAUGUCUACUACUGCUCCUAAGUACCCAGGACCUGCAUGGAAGAGAUUCCCAUCCUGCUUUCUGCCCAAAGAAAUCAGCCCCUCUGAAGGAAGCCCCCAAAGACCCAAGUACAAGGCAGGAUUUUUCUACCCUUCACUUAUUUUCUGCAGGGUUCUGUAUCUGAAAGGAAAUUUUCCAUGUAUAAUCAAGCUGCUGCUCUGACACCAUUUUCAUUGAGUAAUUCAUGGUGAUGUCACACCAGCCAGGCGUUAAGGGAAGCCCUGCUUUUACGGGUUGGCUCUUAAUUUAGGAAUUUUUAUUUUCUGACUUCCCUCCCUUUUUCACUGGACUCCACUGCUUCUGAGGCAAGAUGCCUGAGUGGUGAAGUGUUGCCUGCUUUGGAGAAAAGGAAUUCCUGCUGGUUGAGAGGGGAAUGGUUGAGUGCAGGCAAAAUGCAUGCCUAUAAUAGAACAUCUUAAUUGGAGAGCUGGUGAGAGAGGAAGACAUGUGGGCCUGUUGUGGCUCUGUUGCUCCUGAGAGGUGCUUGGAGCUGAACUGAGAAGAUGGGCUGGGGACACUAGGAUCGAAGUCAUUCCCUUGGAGCCUGGGGAGCCACUUAUCUCCUUCUAGCACCUGGGCAAUCAGAUCCAACUUACUUCCCAAUCAUUCUCCCUUGCCUCUCAGCUGCUCUUUGCAGGGAGACAGUAAAGGGGAAUUUGGCAAAGCUCGCCUGUAAAAGCCUAAUCCAAACAGCAUGUCCGCUGAGCUCAGCGGGGUGACUCAUGUGCAGUGAUGUGUGAGGCCAGCAAGCAGAGAUUAGGAUCUGGCCCGCCUGCCAGCCUGCCCUGCACUUCCUUUGAUCAACUCUGAUGGUUUUUAAUUCUGCAGAAGCAGCUUCCUGCCAGCAGCAAGCAGCUUUCAGUGGAGGCUGGAGCCGUGUCUAUGCUGACCUACUUGUCAGAAGCGAAGCAGGCAUGUGCUGAUGACACUGGACUGACAUCCUGGGCUCACAGCCCGCUUGGGGCCGAAAGGGGAGACUCUUUCACAGAGGUGCCCAUAGUGACAUCAGAAGCUUGCUCUUCAGCCAACACCAGCAAGGCUGUGCGUGUGAGCAGCCUGGGCUCUGAACCUGCUGCUGGCAUUAGUUAGAGUCACUGGGUAAUAAAAAAAAAAAAAUGGGACUCUCUAGGAGACUUUUUUUUGGUAAGCUGGGGCAUCUCUAAGGACAGUGUCUGGCACAAAAUAAAGCACUCUCUGGGUUCUUGAGAAGUAUCAUGUCACAUCUGUUUUGCUCAAAAGGGAACACAUUCGGAGUAUAUUACUUUCUGGAACCAUCCUUUCUCUGCUUGGUUGGAAUGUGUUUGCCUCUUGAUUCUUCCAAAUCCCCUUCAAUUACCAAUGCCAAGCAGAGCACCUGAAAUCCUGUCUCAUGCUUUCUCAUUUCUUCUGUUUUACUGUCUUGCCCUCUCCUUCCUCUCUCUUAUCUCAGGAAGCAGAGCAGCAAUUCGGACAUGGUUGCAUGUCAGAACCACCCUAGAAGGGGGUGUGGCUUAAAAAUCCCCUUGCCCAGGAGGCUUCAGUCUGAGUGUUGCAGGUAGGACCAGCCACGAGUAGUGUUUCAAGCUUCCAUUGUACAGCCAGUUAAAUAUCAUUGAGAUCUAGAGUCCUAGAGUAUCAACUAAGAUUUUUUUUUCUUAGUUUUUAUCUACUCCUCUCUCUUCUCACCACCAUUCAAUGUGAGGGUGUUCAGGGGAUAGGUAUAUACUUUAACCUGGGUAAGAUCAGAUUUUUUAAAAUUUUAUAUUUUUAGUACUAGGGAUUAAAUCCAGGGGUGCUUGACACUAAGCUACAUUCCCAGCCCUAUUUAUUUAUUUAUUUAUUUAUUUAUUUAUUAUUAAGAAGGGUCUCAUUAAGUUGCUUAGGGCCUUGCUAAGUUGCUGAGGCUGGCCUUGAACUUGAGAUCCUCUAGCCCUGAGCUGCUGGGAGUAUAGGCCUGCUCCACCAGGUCCAGCUAAGAUCAGAUAUUAUCUGGAUGGGAUAACUGGCCUACAUAUUAAGAAGAAUUUGUUCAUCUGGUUAAAGGUAUUUACUAUCCCACUGAGACUAGGCACAGACGAUGAAUAUAAGGGGUGAAAUACACAUACAAGGAAGGAAAUGACUAAACGCACAAAACAAUGACCAGUGGGAAUUUCUGGGAGGUAGACUUGUCUAUGGUGGUGAAGGGGUGUGGGUAGGGCUUCCACAUAAAAUAAGGACCCUUAGUUAGACUGUCAUUUCAGAGAAACAACAAAUAAUAUAAUAUUGGGGACACACUUAUACUAUAAAUAAAUCAUUGUUGCCUGAAAUUCAAAUUUCACUGAAUGUUCCGUAUUUUAUUCACUAAAUCUGCAACUUAGUCUGUUUUGUGCUGCUAUAAUGGAACAGACAAACUGGAUAAUUUAUAAACAAAAAUAGAAGUUUAUUUGUCUAGCAGUUUCAGAAGCUGGAAAGCCCUAGAUUGAGAGUAUGCAUCUAAUGAGGGCCUUCUUGCUACAUCACAAUAUGGCAGAAGGAUGGACGAGGCAGAGAGAGAGGUUGAAGCCAAGAUAUCGCACUCCCACGAUAAUAGCACUCACAUGAUCUGAUCACCUCUUUAAGGUCCCAGUUCUCAACCCGGUUGCACUGAGGAUUAAGUCUCUAACUUGUGAACUUUGGGGAUACAUUAAAACCAUAGCAAUCUAGAAAUUCUAGUUUCGGGGGGCAGAAUAGAGAGGAGAUUCUCAGGCAGUUGAAGGAAUGGUGGGUUUCACCUGUGGGUAUUAUGCCCUCUUACCUACUCCUACCACCAUCCCGAGGGCUGUGGGAAAAUCAUGUAGGAUUUGGUACAUGGAAAACAUAAUGCUGAACAUACUACAAUAGGUAGGAUAGUUCUGGUGAAGGAUUGUCCCAUUGAAAAUGUCAGUAACAGCCAGCCCAUGACACCUACUUCACCAUUUUACUGGUGUAUCAUUCUCUCUUAGUUCUUCCCCCAGAAAGCUAGGAACUGGCUACUCAGAGAGGUUCAAAAAUGUAUCCCCAAUGAAAAAGCCAACCAGACAAAGUUUCUAAUUCUUGUCCCAAAGCCUCCAAAGAUCUAAACCAAACCAGAUAAUUGGUUCAAUGAAAUGAACCCCUGAAACUAACUCCAAGUUUUCAAAGUGGCCUGUAAGCACCACUUCCUUCAUAAAACCUUCUUGUCUGCUCUAAUCUGGACUGAUCUGUCUCCUCAAUCCCUAAAACAUCAUUUUCUUUUUUUUUUUAAAGAGAGAGAGAGAGAGAGAGAGAGUAUUUUUAAUAUUUAUUUUUUAGUUUUUGGCGGACACAACAUCUUUGUUUGUAUGUGGUGCUGAGGAUCGAACCCGGGCCACACGCAUGCCAGGCAAACGCGCUACCGCUUGAGCCACAUCCCCAGCCCCAUUUUCUUUUCGUUUUCAUUAUCAUUUAACACUGACAUGAUUUUGCUAAUCAUUUCGUGUGUACUCGCCUAUGGCUUAGUCUCUCCAGCUAAGCAAGCAAGGUACAUGAGGAGAGUGAGAUCAAGUUCUGGAUGAACUUGGUCAGGUUUCUCAUUUGUUGGUUGACUUUGCUGCUUGUUACGCUGCUUUCUUCUUAAAAGACAAACAAACUCUGUUGUAGCCGAAAUGUGCAAAUAGGUAAGACAGUGAAAGAUGAAAAGGAAGACAAGAAACCGUAGAGAGGAAGGAGAAGACCAGGAACCAGAGAUAAUUUUAUAUAUAGAUCCUAAACUGAAGUCUGGGCUUCCUGACAGUUAAAUCAAAACGGGAAACACUUGUGGUGAUGUCAUUCUUAACUGUUUAAAAAAGGGAGUUACAUCAUCAGCUCAUGAGUUUAUAAUCUUUUUCCUCGUGCUCAAUCUAAGUGAAAUUUAUCAACUCUUAAAAGUCAAAACUCUGAGAAACAUAUCAGACAACAUCUUCAGUUGAGUUUUCAGGAGAUACCAAAAAAAAGUAGGUUUGUCUUUUUCCUGAUUUUAUUUUUUUGAUACAGGAGAAUUUAACCCAGAGGGCACUCUACCACUGAGCUACAUCUCCAUGCCUUUUUAUUUUUUAUUUUGAGGUAGGGUCUUGCUAAAUUGCCCAGGCUGGCCUUAAGCUUGUAAUCCUCCUGACUCAGCCUCCCAAGUCCCUGGGACUACAAGGGGUGCCAUGGUGCCCGGUUCCUAAUUAUUUCUUAUGUUGACCCUCUAAGAGGGUCAGAGCUAUUGUUUUGAACCUUGGUUCCAAUGGAAGCCCAAUUUAUAAUGAGCUAAGCUAACAUAUUCUAAAAGCAUCUGUUUCUAGUGACCUUAUUAAUAAAGGGGCACUCCAAAAUUUAAACUGCCUGCAGCUUUUGUGUAGGCUUUGUGUGUGGCUCCCCUCGGAACUUUUUUUUGAGGGGGUACUCGGGGGUUGAACCCAGGGAUGCUUUACCACUGAACUACAUCCCUAGCCCUUUUAAUUUCUUAUAUUGAGACGGGAUCUCACCAGGUUUCUUAGGGCCUUGCUAAAUUGCGGGAGCUGGCCUGGAAUUUGUGACCUUCCUGCUUCAGGACCUUGAGUAGCUGGGAUUAUAGGUACAUACCACCUCACAUCUAGUUUCACUAGGAGUUUCUGACCUCCUUAAGGAAAAAGUGGAUGGGGUGGGAGCUAUAUUUGUUUUUGUUUUUUUUUUUUUUUUUUUUUAAGAGAGAGUGGGAGGGAGGGAGGGAGAGAGAGAGAAUUUUAAUAUUUAUUUAUUUAUUUUAGUUUUCAGCGGACACAACAUCUUUGUUUGUAUGUGGUGCUGAGGAUAGAACCCGGGCCGCACGCAUGCCAGGCGAGCACGCUACCGUUUGAGCCACAUCCCCAGCCCAAGGGAGCUAUAUUUGUGCUGAGGGUUACUGUAAAGAAUGGGAACAGGCACUUUCUACUUGCCACCCCAUUCUUCUCUCCCCAAGCUAGAAACAGUGGGAAUUAUCCACCCUGCCCAAGGCGAUUCCCAGCCACAUCCCCAGGAAAGGGAUAAAGGAAAACAGAGUGUCACCGCAGGCCCACCCCAGGGCAGGAUCCUGAGAAUGACUUGAGGGACUGCCUGACCCUGUGGAUCAUCCUUUAAUAAGAGUGCUACACUUGAGGUUAGUUGGACUGUCUUCCAAAGACCGGGAACAAACAAUUAGAUGACUCAAAAAAGAAUUUCCAGUUUUGGUUUUAUUUGGGGCUCUCUUUAAAAACAAACAAUACUUCUUUAUGGGGAGUGGGUAGGAGAGUAAAACAAACAAACAAAAAUUUAACCACAGAUUUUUUUUUUUUUAAAUCCCCUCCUCAGAUGAUAUCAGUGAAAAGAAACUGGCCUGGGGCUUUGAGGCCCAAGAACUAUGGGUGGCUGAUUAACACUUCUGUCCCCUCUUCCUGCCCACCACCUGCAUCUCAGGCAACAGCCCUGGUGCAUGGUGGCUAGCAGUGACAAAACUUAAAACUUUAAUGAAACGUCAUACUCGUGGAUUCAUAGAUUUGUAUCAAAAGUCCAAGCAGCAGGUCUGGGAUGAGAGAUCAAAGCCAAAGGUACAAAUCUCUGAUGUAGACUUUGCUCUUUUUUUGUUUUGUUUUGGAGUGUUGGACGUUGAACACAGGGCCCUGUGCAUGCUAGGCAAGUGCUCUAAGGCUGAGCUACACCCUUACCCGCUGGUCUUUUGUUUUUAGAUGGCAUCAGCUUCAGUUUCCUUCCUGCUAGUAUGAAAAGGACGGCUGGGCAGAAGCAGGCAGGAUUUAUUUACAUGCAGAAUGUACAUGAAGAGGCUGUCUGAGCCUCCCUGCUGCUCCCUGUCUCUCCUCAUUGGGGAAGGGGUCCCCUGUAGGAGAGAGGGAAACAAGCAGGAAUUAGGCUUCUCUUCUGCUCCAAGGAGAGGUCAACCUGGUUAUGCUGCCCUUGCUAAACUAGAAGGAAACUGCUUCUCAGGUCAAUAAUGAGUACUGGGCUCAGGGCUGGACUGUGUGUACUGGGCUCAUUUAAAAUUCUCUGGCAGGCCCUCCCCUCCCAUGGGAUUAGAGGAAGGGGGUUUAGGCAGGGUCAUUUGUGAUUCUUCAGCAUCUGAACUCCCUUCCCAUGUUUAGAUUUACCACUUUAUGAAUCUUGAUUGCACUAAGGAAAAAUAGCACCUGGGCUGGGGAUGCAGUUCGGUGGUGGAAUGCUUGCCUCGCAUGCACAGACCCUGGGUUGGAUCCCCAGCACUGAAAAAAAGAAAAGGGAAAAAAGCCCCAAAGACCAGAUGCUCUCUUUUAAAAUUUUCUUUGCAAAUAGGGCAUCAAGACAUAACCAAGACUUGCCCAACAAGUAUACCUGCUUCAAAUAGAAUCAGAAAUUACUUAAUUACUUGCACCAAUAAACACGGACCAUGGAGAAUCCUUCCUGGGGGAUGCUGCAGGGCAGCGGUGUUCAUGGUGGCUUUCAGUGUUCAAAGUUGAAGAUGGUGGCAGUGCCACUUGUGAUUCAGCAUUGGGCAAAAACAAUAGUGUAUCCUCAUCUUACACUCUCUGUGCUGUGAUUGUGCCUGUGGCCUUGGCCAUGAUCCUCAAAUCCUGGUUCCUAUUUCUCUGACCUUCCCAGUGAUUCUAUGAGUUGCCCAACUGCAUUUCAACAGAUUCUUUUGAUCAGUCAGGUUGGUUUCUGUUGCUUACAACCAAGAACCCUGACUCUCUCCAUCUACAACUGGCUUUGGUAAAUUGUUUGCAGAUGCUUUUUUCUUUCACUGCUGCAUUCUUUAUGCCUCUGUCCUCCUGGCAAUUCCACAAAAAAAAUCCAGAAAAGGAGGACUGAGCAUGCAGAGAAUUUGACCAUAGCUAGGAAGCAAGCCAAGAGGACACUGAACUUGAACAUCGGAUGCUUUACUUUGCUAGGUGGGGUGAAUGCACCAUUACUGGAACAGAAGGCUAUAAGCUAUUAUCUUUUAAUUUUUGAAAUUAUAUAAUUUUUUUAAAUUAUAUAAUUUUUUAAAAUUAUAUAUGUAUAUAUAAAUUUUUAUGUAUAAAUUAUAUAUGUAUAUAUUACAUAUAAAUUAUAUGUGUAUAUAUAAAUUUUUAAAAUUAUAUAUGUAUAUAUAAAAUUAUAUAUAUAUAUAUAUAUAUAUAUAUAUAUUUAGUGGUUGAUAGACCUUUAUUUUAUUUAUGUAUAGGCAGUGCUGAGAAUCCAACCCAGUGCCUCACACAUGCCAGGCAAGUGUGCUACUGCUGAGCCCCAGCUACAGUCCCCUCAUCUUUUAAUUUUUGAUCUGUAACUUGGUUAUAAAAUAAUACAGCAAUUAUUCAGAUUCAUGGUAUCAUAGACCAAGUUCCCCUUACUUUCCCCAGUAUCAGGUCAUUCAAGGGAUAAAAUAAAUAGUAGUAAAGAGAAGAUGAUGGGCAUUUGAGAAAAAGAAUUCAGGGAAGAGAAGCUUAAUAUAGCCUUAAUGUCUCUUUUAAAAAAAGAAUUGUCUCAACUAUGUGAGAGCUAAAGAUUAAGGCCUGCAAGUUGAGCCAACACUGCAGAGAUUUGCUGGUGUUGAUUGAAGAGCAAGAGCCUGGAGCUUUAGCCGUCAGAUGGUCCAAGGCAGAGACAAAACACUCCCAGGCAGGCAGAGCCUGACUUGGGUCUACACCAGACAGCAUUUCUUUUUGGAAGGGGGCCUCCAAGAAUGCCUGCAAGCUGAAUUGAAAUGGCUCUCCAAAAAGCAGGUUGAAUCUGUUUCAAAGGUGUUGACAGUCGGUGGGGAGACUCUGAGUUUAGGAAGCCAAGGGUAGAGAGAGUUUCAGCUACCUUACCAUGACAGCAUCAGUUCAUUCAUAGCUUGUAUUAAGCGCCCCGUUCUGAAUAACACUUUUAUUAGGCUUUGGGUCCUCAAGGAUGUAUUUGUCACAAACUGACUCAGGUGCGAAUUCUUGUUUGUGGGAUUAACUGGUGAAACCUUACUUUAGGCAUGUCUCUUAACUAACUUUUCUAAGCCCCCAUCUCCCAAUUUAAAAAUCCCUACUAUUACAUGUGGGGUUUAAACUACCUCACUCACAGAUUUCUUAUCUAAAGUGUAACACUUCUAUUAUUUCCCUUACAGACAAGAAUCACGUGUUCUUAAAAAUGCCCUUCAGUCCAAGUACAGACCCAGCCAGAGCAAGCACAGACAACUCUCCAUGUGGCCACAUUCCAGAAGAGCCUAUUCCACAGUCUCCUAGGAACUUUCUCAAAUCAGGAGGAAAGGCCAGCAGGGAUUAAGUUAAAAGGCAGAGAAUGCUGGUAUCUUUUGACUCAGUAGACAACUUCAGAACAUCUUUUUUCACUUUUUUUCCAUUGGUGCUGAGAAUCAAACCCAGGGUCUCAUGCAUGCUAAUCACUCUAAUACAGAACUAUAUUCUUAGCCCAGAUUAUAGAAACUUUAAACAGCUUUAAGUGCUUAGUUUUGCUACUAGAGCUGGAUUUCCAGGUAACCUACUUCUGGCGUGGGCUUAUCUUAAAAUUCACGAUGAUGCCAGGCGUGGUGGCACACACUAGUAAUCCCAGCAACUCAGGAGGCUGAGGCAGGAAGAUGGCAAGUUCAAAGCCAGCCUCAGCAAAGCGAGAUCCUAAGCAACUCAGUGAGACCCUGUCUCUAAAUAAAAUAUGAAAUAGGGCUGAGGAUGUGGUUCGGUGGUCACAGUCCCCUGAGUUCAAUCCCUGGUUCAAAAAAAAAAAAAAAAUCACAUUGAACAGUAGGAGAUGGUUCAGGAUAACAAUUCUCAUACUGUCUGUGAAAUAUUACACACAUGUAUAUAUUUUAAACCUGUGCUGUCCAACUUGGUUUUAAUAUGUAGACUCCAUGGCAACUGCUUUGAUUCAGAGAGGGUGCUGUGACUCUUUUGGUCCAGAGUUUCAAGUGACAAGUAAAUUUGAAGGUCAUAAAUGACAGUAAACGGAGAUGAUCAUCUUAUUUCCUCUGCUUCCUCCCUGGAGAGAGGCCAGAUGACUCCAGAGAAAAGAGAGAUGGGAAUGAAAACAAGUAAAUCCCAUCAGAGAGAGCAGGGAAGAGAGAUGGAAUGACAACAGAUUUUGUUGUUCAGCUGCUAGCAAAAAUCUGAUGGCCUAUAUGGGCAUAGUGGCACACAUGAGGCCAGCCUCAGCAACUUAGGGAGACCCUGUCUCAAAAAGAAAAUAAAAAAGGAUUGCAAGUAAAGCUUAGUGGUAGAGCACCCCUGGGUUCAAUCCCCAGUACCAUAAAAACAAAAACCAAACAACAACAGCAACAAAAAAUUGAUGCCUGCAUUGCUCUGGGGAGAGGAGCCAAGGCUUCCCAAAUUCAGGCUCCCCAACAUGAUUGCUAAAGCCACACCCAUCAGCCCACAGACAGCCAACACUGCUGCAGAACCCGUGAGACACCUUGGAAAGCUGCCCAAGUUUCUGGAGACAUCUCUGUAAAAGCUGCCUUUGUCCUGGGUAGAUGCUUGAACCCCAGCAUGGGGGUACUCAGAGCUGCCUCAUAGAAACAAAUAUGUAUUGUAUGUAUCUAUAUAACAUAUAUGUAUAGAUAUGUGUGUGUAUAUAUGUGUGUGUAUGUAUAUAUACAUGCACAGAUGUAUAUUUUUUAAACAAAAAUUUUAUUGCAAAAAUUUUGUUCUCAGUUUUGUUGGAGGGCUAAUUGCCAGUUCUUCUCCCAGGGGCGGCAGGCAGGGUGGACUGAACAAGCAAGCAAAGGCGCUCAGAGCUUUGAUGUCAACAGAGGUGGGCAGGGCAGGUCCCGGUGGAAAACUGUGAAGUCAGCAGAGUUAUCUCUGGCACUCCUCCCUUCCCCUGGCUUCCCCUUUCUCCACCCAUUUCCCCCUCUCAGCUUCCAGCAUCUCAUUUCCCAGGGGCCCCUGGAACAUACGUUGUCCCAAGAUAGGAGGGGGCCCGUGCAAGGCUCCAGCUAUCAAAAUCUGCUUUUCCCCCAAGUCUAAAACAAACAAAGGCGUGCAUUCCAUACAUUUCCUAAGUAAAGAAAGCCAGGGCAGAAACCUCGUCCUUUGUGCUUUCUCCGUUAAACCCCAAGAGUUUGGGGCCUCAAAUUUGAAGCUGUCUUCCUGCCUCCUGGGGUUUGAAAAAGACUCCAAAGUGCCUCAAACCAAUACAGCUGCUUCUUGGUUUAUGGCUCAAAUUUAAACCACAAAUUAUAAAAUGAUAAAUCGCUGCUCAAGUCUCUUCCAGGAAAGACUAUGUUGUCAAGAUUAAGUUACAACCUCAUGGACGUCUGAGCGAGUCUAGCUGCUGACUAAUUCUCACACCCAUCCUCCUGCAGGAGAAAGAUUCUGCCCGUGAACUUUCAUUGUUUCUGACUACUUUACACAAAGAAAAUGACCCAAGGCAGUGACAUCUGGGGCUUCUUAACUAGUGGAGCUGUGUGCUUUCUUAUCUAAUGGCUGCUUUCCUUUCGUGAGAACCAAAGGAAGUUUAAGAAAUAUCUUCAUUGCUGAGCCAUAAACCAACUGCCAGAGAACAGUGAGAAAAGACUUCACGUGGGCAGCACCACUCACUUCAAACACUAGUUGGAAUGUGAGAUUUAUAGUAAAACAAAGUUGUUUUAAGGAAUUUGGGUCUAAAAGUAUCUGUUCAGUGACUUGGGGGCAAGACUACACCGUGGAUUACUAUAUUUCGUCUCCAUGAAAAGCAAUUCUUUGGAAUUCUCUUGCAGAGUCUGAUCUAGUGACAAAGGAGUGAGGAAAAGGAAUCAAGCCACAUGCAUGCUUUGCCGUAGUGGCGUUCCCUGCCAGAGUCUGGCAGGAGAAGGAGGCAGCUACCUUGCCUCCUUGCAGGCUCUAUCACACUGACCUCAUUUUGCUUACCUGGGGCUGCAGGAAGUAGCUUGAAUGUCCACGUGUUUCUAUGGUAUGGUGCCUUGGUUACCCAACUAUGACCUGGUUUCUUCAAGGCCACUCAAGUCUUGAGGACCCUCAGGCUAUGAGUCAUAAUCACUUGAAUAUUUACUCCUAAAUUCACCUCCUGUUGAUUUUACGCCUACGGGCCCUUCCAUUCUCCCUUCCUUAGGGUCCUGGGGUCCUGCAGAGCAGCUUAUGUUCUCUGAUGUCAUUUCACGUUAUCAUCCAUUCCAUCCACCGCAGGCCUUGCCACAGCUGCUCCUGUCUCUGCUUUUCCUGAAGCCAGCCCUGCUGUCAUUACUGCUGCUUUUUCUGGGAUACUUCAAAUUGUGGAGAGUGUUCUUUUCCUGUUGAUUAUAGCUCUUUCUUCCAAUUUCGACUAGUCUGGCGUCUCUAUGAUUACAGCUCAUUAGGGCUCCCAAGGCUAGAGAGGGUGCUUUUUUUAAAAAAAAAUGCUGCCUUGUUUUUUGAAUAACGUUGACUAUAACUUACUUUUGCAGAGAAGUAUAAAGAAGAACUCAGUAGUGGUCAUUAACAUUAAUCCCUCAGUCUAGAUAACCCCUAUUUUUAGAAAUAAAAGUAUUGCAUACACAUGGGGAAAAGAUCAAAACAGUAAAAAAAAAAAAGUAUAAAAGGAAAAAUGAAAGCUCCCUCUUUUCCUCCUGAAUCACUUCCCAAAAUAUAACCACUAUUACUAUUUUUUUGUGUGUGUAUCCUUUUUUACUACAUAUUUGUGUAUGUCCUCUAACAAAAUUUUACUUGGAAAGAGCUCUUAUUGCAAUCGAUCCUUCUGCAUCUCACUUUUUUCUCCUCAAAUGCCAUUUGAGAGAUCUUUUCGUGUGUGCACUGUAGAUACACUCCUACAUUUCAUGCCUUCGUUGUCUUUUGUGAGAAAAGAAUGUGCCUUCCAAGUGAAAAGCAUUCAAUUAAUGUUGCUCCUGGCCACUUUUGUCCCUUUAUUCACCUCCUGAGUGGAGGGUGACUUAUCUGAUUAAUGAGUUUGGAAGAAUAACCUAAAUAUGCUAUUUUGACUAUGUUUUUCUCAAGAUCAAGUGGGUCUUCCGUUCCGCCAGACAGAUGGGCUUCCUCCAACUAAAACCCGGAACCAGGAGUGUGUGCCCAAUUCUGGGUUUCAGUUGGAGACAGCCUAUCUAUCUGACUCCCACUUAAUUUGAGAUAACACACACACAACAUCCAACAUAGCCUUUAUCAGAGACGUUGAGUCCUUCAUCUGCUACUCCUUUAUUUCUCAGUUUGGUCAGAAUCUGAGCAGAGAAUAAUGCUGUUCUUUGUUAGACCUUUUCUGGGUUCUCAAAUAUCAUUCCUUACAUAGAUGUAUCAAAAUGUAUCUAGUUAGUUUCCUAAUGAUGGAUGUUAAGGUAGUUUCCAAUGUAUUGCUUGAUCAAGCAACAUCUCAGUGAUCAUUUUUAUACAAAUAUGCUGGUGCCAGAGAACAGUAGGUACAUUGAAGGGUAAAUUUUUGUUUUGUUCUGUUUUGUUUUUGUAGGUACAUUGAAGGGUAAAUUUUGUUUUGUUUUGGUUUUGGUACCAGCGAUUGGACCCAGGGGCACUUAAACUCGAAGCUAUAUCCCCAGCCCUUUUUUAUAUUUUUUUUUAGAGACAGGGUCUCACUGAGUUACUUAGGGCCUUGCUAAGUUGCUGAGGCUGGCUUUGAACUUGUGAUCUUCUACCUCAGCUUCCUGAGCCACUUGUAUUACAGGCAUGUGCUACUGUGCCAGGCGUAAAUUCUUUUUAUUUAUGUAUUUAUUUUUAAUUUUGAUUCAGGAUUUUGCUAAGUUGCUGAGGCUAGACUCAAACUUGCAAUCCUCCUGACUGAACCUCCCAAGUGGCCGAGAUUACAGGUAUCUAUCACCACAUCUGGCAAAGGGUAUAUUCUUUACAGUAGAAUUGCUGGACCAAAGAUCUGGGUCUUUGUGUCCCAAAUUAAGAUGGAAGAAAAAACUCCACCCUCAAUGUUAAUGGAAGUUGGGAGGGGGAUGCCUAGAUAAUAAACUAAUAACAAGAGCAAUAAUUAACAUUCGUUUAUUUCUUGCUGUGUUGCAGGUUCUGUGCCAAGCAUUUUCUGCUUCCUAAUAUUUUUUAAUCCUCCAACACCUUUAUGAGAUAGUGACUAUUACUAUCUUCAUUUGUUACAGUUGAGAAUGAGGAUCCUCAGAUAAAAUUGUUAAAUAAGUAGCCCCAGAUCACACAACUAGUAACUAGAGGAGAUGGAAAUCAUAGCCAUCUUUCUGCAAUUCCAGAAAUUGACCACCAGACUGACAGGUGUCCCUAUACCCUGGUGGGGCAUUUAAAACUGUGUGGCCACCAUUUGUUCAGAGCUUGGCUCUUAUGUGAGUACGUGCACAGCAUAGUGAUUAUAAGCAUGGGAUUUACAGCUGGGCUCUGAGUUCAAAUCCCAGUCUUGCUUCUUACCAACCAUAUGUGAUGAGUACCUCAGUUUCCUCAAUUGCAAAAUGCAGAUUUGAAAGAAGAUUAAGUUAUUUAAUAUCUGUAAAACACUAAGGAACACUGCCUGGCAUCAAGUCUUUCAUAACUAUUUAAGUAAAACAAAUUCAUUUAUUUUACAAUUAUUUUUAAUUCCCAAAGUAACAUUGAAUAAUAUUUGUAUUAUGCUAAAUAAACCAAAAUAUACACAUAUGUAUCAUAAAAAGUAAAAGUCUCUGUUCAUCUUAAACAUCUGUCAUCACCUGACCCCACUCUCACUCUCCUCUUUAGAGUUCUAUGGUUUGAGUCUGCAUUUCCAGAUCUUAUUUGAUAUGUUUUCUCUAUGUAUAUAGCCUUGUUUAUACACAACUGGAAUUAUACCAGUGGGAGAGUAGCUUAUCACAGUUAUUAAUAAAUGGACCCUGGAAUAAGACUGAGUUCAAGUCCCAGUUUAUCUUCCACUAGCUGUGUGAUCUCAAACAAGUUACCUAAUCGCUCUGAGUCUCAGUUUUUUCAUUAAUUUCUUUAACGAAGAAAAGAAAAUAAACUUCCUUAUAUUAUAUAUAUAUAUAUAUAUAUAUAUAUAUAUAUAUAUAUAUAUGUGUGUGUGUGUGUGUGUAUAUAUAUAUAUAUCAACUCAUUUAACUAUAUUAUAUAUAUAUAUAUAUACACACACACACACACACACACAUAUAUAUAUAUAAUAUAAGGAAGUUUAUUUUCUUUUCUUCGUUAAAGAGUUUAUAUAUAUCAACUCAUCUAACUAUAUAUAUAUAUAUAUGUAUAUAUAUAUAUAUAUACUCUUAAAAUACUACCCAACACAGAAAAUGCUCAGUAAAUGUUAGUUCUCAUAAUUAUUCCAACAUAUACUAACUAUACUGGGACAUGCUCUCUGUUAAUAGUAUACUUCAGGGAUUAUUCCACAGUAAUAUAUAUACAGAUGUCUCAUUUUAGAAGUGGCUACAUUGUUCUUCGGAAUACAAUAACCUUGUAGUUUAUUUAGCUAUACUCCAGUAUGGGUUGUUUCUGGCAUUCUUGUCCUUUCUCAUCUGAAGAUAUAGGGUUCUAAAGCCUUAUAUUUUGCUUUAUUUAUUUAACAAAUACAUGUAUCAUUUACUACAUGUCAGAUAAUGUCUUAAUGACCUUACAAAUUUAACUCAAUACUUAUAAUAACAAUACCAACUUGGGGGCUAUUUAAUCCCUGUCUUUACAGAUAGGAAACCAAGGCAUUGAGCCAUCAGCUGACUUGGCCCAGGGCUAGGAAGGAGAGGGCAGGACAUGCAACCAAGGGAGUCUGGCCCCUGAGUCCACACUCUCAACCACCACACCCUGUACCUCUCUUCUCAUCCUAAAAUUUGCAGCUUUCAUUUCCCUAAAACCCAAAGCCUCGUCCUAUCACAUUUUAUACCCAGGUUGUAGAUGGGAAUUCAGCCUCUUUGGAAUAUAUUUAGAAAUAUACAAGUAAUCUGAAGGGCAGAAUGAAUGCUAAAUCAACUUGACUCAAACUACCAUGAGCAAGCCUGAGUAAGGACUGUUCCUGACAAUAGCCAGCCAACCUUGAGAAAGCUCUUCGGUGAUGAUCCCAGGGUUUGUCCCCAGAGUCUGGGCUCUCAGUUCCGUCUCUGUGCCAUGCUGGCUUGCUAAGCAAACUCACAUUGCAGGGCAGCAGAAGGCCUUAAAAUAAACAAAAAUGUUUGUGUUGUGCCUGGUUUAUGGAACAAUGCAUUUCCAAUUAAGUAGUACAAAACUCAUGCAAAUAAUCUUCCCUUUUCCUGAUUCCUGCUGUGUAUGAGUCUUUCCCAACCGACUCAGCCAACUCAAAUUCCUAAAAUGCUAAGGUUCAGAAAGUCUGUUCAAAAGUUUGCUAGUAAAAUAUGAAACUCUCCCUUCUCUGUUCUCUAUCACUGUUCCCAUCCCUACCCUCAAGCUACUUUAGCUUUUAGACAUGUGUACUAAAUGCCUUUUUUUUUUUAAAGAUAUGAGUGAGAUAUUUCUUUUGGAGUGUGUCCAGACAAUCUGGCAAAUGUACACUUGACAUUAGCCACAGGGAAGCACAUAAAUAAAAAAUUGAAGGAACAAAAAAUAAAAGUAGGGCAAACUAUGGGUCUAGUUGCUUUAGAAAUCAGGAUAUCAUUCCAAAUGGAGGACUUUUAUGAAACUUUUUCCUGUUUUUUUUUCUUUGCUUUGUUAAUGGAGAAAAAAAAAUGUAUACAUACCCUAAAACCUGCAUUUUACCCUUUAUAAAUUAACUUUUAUCUCUUGGUUAUAUUCUUAUAGAAAGAAAGUACUUAAGGCCAGUCUUCCACCCAUCCUGAUGCCUGACUUUUGGCUCAAGGAACUUCCUGUUCUGUUCCAGUGUGACAUGUUGAAAGUUGACCUGGAAAUGGUGGACUUCGCUGUACUCUGUGAGCCUUUACUGUGGCCCUCAUCUUUUAUAUUUUAGGAAAUGUGGUGGGAGUGGAGCGGGAAUACGGGGAGGCCAUGAUAGGAGCAGGGAAGGGGGCCUUCACUAUUUGCACCUUCCAAGAGGACAAAUUGUCUUUAUUCCAGCUCCUCUCACAGGGAGGUAGUUGAGUGAUGAGUGGGUUGGGUUGGGAUGGGACAAAAAACAUGGUUUACUCUUGAUCAUAGUGCAUAAAGCUGCACAUUGAAAACAGGAAACUGUAUCGAAGUAGAAUCGCUAAGACCAAAAACAGAAGUUGACUGCAAAAGAGGUGAUUCAUUUUUAUUAAAAUAUCAAUCAUUUAAAAAAUCCAGUCACUAUGCCCUCCUGUCCCAAUAUCACAACAGAAAUGUUUAUAACUUUUGAUCCCUGAUUAAGAAAUAGACCUGGCGUUCAGGUUUUGUGCCAUGGGAUCCAGGUCUCUGAUCUCAUGGCUGUUUGAACCAGAGGUGGGCACCUCUGUUACCUGUAGCUAGGUAUUAAAAAAUUCACCGUGCCACUCAGUCACUCUCAUAGAGGAUGCACGAAAGUACAGAGAGAAGUUACCAGAUAGUAAGCAAAAAGGAGUAUGGACUGUAUUCAUAAGGAAAUACAUGUAAUAUAUAAACUGUAUUAAUAAGGAAAUACAUGUAAUCCCAGCAACUCAUGAGGCUGAGGCAGGAGGUGCAAGCUCAAAGCCAGUCUCAGAAACUUAGCAAGGUCCUAAGCAACUUAGGGAGACCUGGUCUCUAAAUAAAAUAUAAAAAAGGGCUGGGGAUGUGGCUCAGUGGUCAAACACCCCUGGGUUCAAUCCCUAGUACCAAAAAAAAAAAAAAAAAGAAGAAGAAGAAUGAAAUAGAGUGAAGACCUAUGAAUUUCUAAUUGGUGAAAUCUGUACAGUUACCUCAAAUUGAGAACUAGCUUUUAGUACUAGUUUCUCCAAAGCCAGCCCAUUAUGAUUCCUGUUCUUGCUUUUAGUGUCUUAUCUUGUAUUUUUCUUAACAGCAUUAUACUUGAACUAACUGGAAUGAGUGACCAAUACUUGCAAUCCAAGUUAAACUAAAGUAUUAUCCAAUAGAUGGGCAAAAAUGGAGCCAAAAUAAAGUGCACUGAGGAAUCAGGAAAUGCUAAACCAGAAGUAAUAAAAGUAAAUGACUUUGUUAGGGCUUAUGACACUUCAAGUAAUGUUACUGAAACCAACUCAAGUUGAUUAGAAGAAAUAGAUGUUCACAUGUUUAUGUGGCAAAUUCUGAAGUGGCUCAGAAGCAGCCAGGACUCUUAAAAACUAAUACCAGACAGUUCCUCAAAUUGUUAAUCGUAGAAAUGUUACCAGAUGACAUAGCAAUUUCACUCCCAUGAAAACAUAUGUGCACAUAAGAAUUUGUACACUAAUGUUCCUAGCAUUAUUCAUAUGUGGUAAAAAAGCAGAAAUAACUCAAAAGUACCUAAACUGAUGAUUGGAUGAACAGAAUGUGGCAUAUCCAUUCUAUGGAAUAUUAUUUGGUUGUACAAAGAAAUUAAGUUCUGAUACUACUAUAAAAUUAUUAAAAUUUGAAACUUAAGUGAAAGAAUAUAGACACAAAAGACCACAUAUGAUAUGAUUGAUUCCAAUUAUAUGAAAUGCCCAAAAUAGCCAAAUCCAUAGAAACAUUAGUGGUUGACAGAGACUGGGCAGAUAGGACAAUGGAAAUGACCACUAAUGGGUCCAGAUUUAAUUGGGAUGGGUGAAAGGGAGAUUGAUAUUGUUCCAGAGUUAGUGGGAUGUACAACUCUGAGUGUGCUAAAAGCCAUUGAACUGUUCACUUUAAAAGGUUCUACCCUGGGAUUAUCCAAGUAUAUAUUUCUCCUUAUCUUCAUGGGAUUACUUGUAUUUUAGGGAAAUGAGUUGUGCUCAUUUAGAGGCUGGAUGUGAUAGAUUGGGUAUGGUGGCUAUUUAAAUUACCGAAGAGUUUCACCAAGAAAAUAUGCCUCACCUUGUGUGGUGGUAUGAACCUGUAGCCCUAACUAUUUGAGAGGCUGAGGCGGGAGGAUCACUGAGUCCAGGAGUUCAAGAGCAUUUAGACAAUGAGGUACAACCCCAAGACUCCAUCUCAAACAAAAAAAAAAAGAAAGAAAGAAAGAAGGAAGGAAGAAAAAAAGUCUAUUUCUAUGUGGAAAAAAAAACUGCUUUUAUUUAGUGGCAUAAUAGUGUUUCUUUAGCAAUUCUGGCUGUACAGAAAUGCCAAUAUUCCUUAUAAGGGGAACUCUCUUGCUACCCUCAGAGGGAGCUUAAUCUUAUCCUUUCUACAUUGAAAGUAAGGGGAAAGAGUCCAUCCUUUAGCUGCCUGAUUGAGGGGAAACUUUCUCUCCAACUCUCUCAAGUGAGUAGUACCCUGCUGGGGCUUGCAAAACAUUCACAGUGACCUUGACCUUAUGUUAAAUGGCAGUGAAACAGGAACCCAGAACCAAUAUUCUAACCACUUGUUUUUACCUUAUAAAGAAUAGAUGUCUUUAUGGGGAGUAUCAAAGGGGAAAUAUGAGGAGGGCAGCAUGACCAUUUAGAGGACCAAACAGACUCUAAUAAUAUGCACUAGAACAUGAGGGUUUCCGGGCUAUGCUCACUCUCACACCAGUGUCCUGGCUCUCCCUUAAGUGGAUCCCUCAGUUCAGAUAACCAGGAGCAGCUCAGACUCCCUGGUGCUCUAAGCAGGCAGAAACAUGUAGGGCACAGUCCAUGCUGAAACAUUUACCCUAUUGUUGACCCUGCUCCCAAACGGGGGAAGUGUGAGUCAAUGAAACCGUCUAUGCAGGCUGUUCAAUUAACAUCUUUUAGAGGAAGCAGAUUUUCUCUGACUUCAUGAAUUUAUGGGAAGUGACUCUCAUCAGACCUCUGCUUUGAAGCUUAAGCACAAGGUAUGACAAAUCCUCCACUGAGCAGUUAAGAAAAUGGGGCAAGAAGUUUAGUUGUGUCUCCUGUGUAUAAUUAAAUCACAAAAGAACCUAGACCAAUGCUAUAUAUAUAUAUAUAUAUAUAUAUAUAUAUAUAUUCAAAGUAAGGUAUAUACAUAUAUAUACACAUACUGUAUAAGGUAUAUACACAUAUAUACACAUACUGCCUGUGUAUAAGGUAUAAACACAUAUAUAUGUGUUUAUACCUUAUACAUACAUCUACUACCAGAUUGUGUGUGUAUGUGUGUGUGUGUGUGUGUGUAUUUUUUUUCUUCUUAUUGUUUGUUUUUGCAAUACUGAGGAUUGAACCCAGGAGUGCUCUACCACUGGGCUACAUCCCCAGUCCUUUUUUGUUUGUUUUUGAUUUUAGAACAGGGUCUCUCCAAGUUGCCCAGGCUGGCCUCAAACUUUCAAUACUCCUGCCUUAGCCUCCCUAGUAGCUGGGAUUAUAAGCAUGUGCCACAAUACCUGGCCCCUUUUACUUGUUUUUUAACAACACUCUUCCUGAGUACCAAAGUAAUAAGUGUGCAUUAUCAAAGUAGGAAAAAAAUAAAAGAGUAAAAAUAAUAAUCAUCCAUCAUCCUAGAACCCCAAAAUAACCAUUAUAAACAUUUUAGUAGAUUUUUUUACUCUCUUGUAGUAUAUCUAUAGAUACAUAAUCAUCUCUUUUGAAAUCCUGAGAUCACAUAAUAGAAGUAUUUUUGAAAUAUUUUUAAUGAGUGAAAUCUCCUUUUUCACUCAUUAAAAUAUCAACAUUUUUUACAUUAUUAAACAUUUACUUACAAUAUGCACAAUAUUAUUUUGAACAACCAAUAAUAAAAAAUUUAAAAAAAACCAAUAUGCACAAUAUUAAUAGCUGCAUAGUACUCUAACCUGUGGAUAUAACAUAAUUUGUUGUUUUACACCAUUAAAAAUAAUAUUCUGAGACUUUCUGGCAGGCAAGUCUUUUUAUACUUUUUAUACUCUGAAAUUGCUGAGUUAAAGGCAGUCAUAUUUUAGGGGUUUUGAUAAAUAGUAGUAACUUGCCCUCUAAAAUGUUAACCAUUUCACAAACCUAUUAUCUGUUUAAGAGAGUCCUGUUUACCUGCCUCCUCAUUUACACUAAUUUUUUUUUGUUGAUGUUGAUCUCUUAUUUUAUUUGUUUUUACAUGGUGCUGAGACUCUAACCCAGUGCCUCAUAUAUGCCAGGCUGGGCUACUACUGAGCCACAGCUUCAGCCCUAUACUAGUUUUUUAAAAAUAUUUUUUCUAAUUUAAUUUCCAUCAAGAAAUAUCUACUCAUUUUAAUGUGCAUUACUUUUUAAAAAUUUCUCUUUAAAAUUUUUUGAGAGUAUUUUUUAAAUAAUUUUUUUAGAUUCACAGAAAAAUUGAGAAGAGUAGCUAGCAUGGUAGCCCACCCCUAUAAUUUUAGCAAUUUGGGAGGCUGAGGCAGGAGGAUUGCAAGUGCAAGUCCAGCCUUAACAACUUUGCAAGACCUUAUCUCACAGUAUAAAAACAAAAAGAACUAGGGAUGUAGCUCAGUGGUAGAGCAGUCCUGGGUUCAAUCCCCAUUAUUGCCCCCCCCGCCAUUUUUUUUGAGAAGGAACAGAGAUAUCUCAUGUCUCCUGCACCCCAUUUGUAUAUCCUCCUCCAUUAUCAAUAACCCAGCCCAGAGUGGUACAUGUGUUACAAUCAAUGAACCUAUAUCAGUGUGCCAAUAUUACCCAAAGCCCAGAAUUUACAUUAGGGUAGUCUGCAAUGGUGUUGUACAUUCUAUAGGUCUAUAUGUAAUGCUGUGUAUUCACCAUUAUACUAUCAUAUAGAAUAUUUUCACUACCCUAAAAAUCCUCUGUGCUCGGUCUACUCAUCCCUCCAUCCUCAUUAUCCUCAUUAACUUCUGACAACCACUGAUCUUUUACUGUCACCAUAAUUUUGCCUUUUCAGAGUACAUAUAGAUGCAAUUAUAAAAUAUAUACCUAUUAAGAUUAGCUUCUUUGGCUGGGCAUGAUGGCUCAUACCUGUAAUCCCAGCUACUCAGGAGGCUGAUGCAGGAGGAUUGCAAGUUCAAGCCCAGCUUGGGCAACUUUUCCAGACCCUGUCUCAUAAUUAAAAAUUUAAAAAGAGCUGAGAAAGUAGCUUAGUGGUAGAGUGUACCUGAGUUUAACUCCAGUACCAUAAAGAAAAAAAAACUGACUUCUUUUACAUCAAUAUGCAUUUAAAGUUAGUCCAUAUAUCUUCAUGGUUUGAUAGCUCAUUUCCUUUUUAGCACUGAAUAGUCAGUCAUUCCUUUGUCUGGAUGUACCAUGCUUUAUUUAUCCAUUCAUCUGCUGAAGGACAUCUCAAUUGCUGCCAAGUUUAGGCAAUCAUGAACAAAGCUGCUAUAAGCAUCCAUGUACAGGCUUUUGUGUAGAUGUACUACUUUUUAAAUAUUCUUGUUCUUAGACACAAUUAUUGGCAGUUUGUAUUUCUGCUUUUGAGAAAUGUCUGUUCCUUUGCAUGCCUACAUUUCUUAACCUAUGGUGUGUCCAUGUUGAACAGCCUGGUUUUUUGUUUGUUUUUUAUUUAUUAUUUAAUUGUAGCUGGACACGAUACCUUUUUAUUUUAUUUAUUUAUUUUUAUGUGGUGCUAAGGAUUGAACCCUUUGGCACUGAGCCACAACCCCAGCACCUGCCACCCCCCCCACACCUGCCAAGAGUCUGGUUUUAUUCAGAAUUCUGGAUGAAUGAAACCAGCAACUCUCCGACAGGAAGUUCCUUUUCUCACAACUUUGGCUCUGGGAGGAUCCUGGGCUCUUCUAUAGGAAAAGUGAAUGUCUGUUGGUUGAGGACAGCCCGUCUUUACGUUGGACAAUCUAUACCUAGACUUCUUAUCUCCUAGGCUGGUUCAAAAAUUCUGCCAUUUUAGAAUGAAGGUUUCAAUUGUUGCUUUUUGUUAUUGUUGUUGUUUGUUUAUUUUGUGGUGCUUGGGAUUGAUCCCAGGGUCUCAUGCAGGCUAGCCAAGUACUCUACCACAAAGCUACAUCCCCAGCCAAUGCAGGUUCCAAUUCUAAGAAAAUCUCCUAUACAUUUUAUUUUAUUGGAUAAUAUUCAAUUCAUAGAUCCUCCCAAUACUUGAACCAUCAUGGUUUAAACUGAAGGGACCCCUUAUUUGAAAUUGACCAUUCAAGUCCCCCAGGUAACUAAGAAUGAAAAAUCACUCUCCUGACUGGGAGGACUUUGAUGAUGACCAUCAUCGUGUAAUGCAAUUGGAAAUUCUCUGCUAUUAUAGACUAUUCACAUGUUGAUCAAACAGUCAGGAUGGGCCAAACAAAGUUUAAACUAGGAAGAGGGUGAUACAAAAAGUUUAUUGAUUAUUUAUUUGGAGACACAUACACAUACACAUACACACACACACACACACACUUUCAUUCUGUUUGUACAUAUAUUGUUUUUUGAAGAAAUUAAAAUGAUGGGGCUGGGGUGGUAGCUCAGUGGUAGAAUGCUUGCCUAGCAUGUGUAAGGCACUGGAUUCGAUCCUCAGCACCACAUAAAAAUAAAUAAAGGCAUUGUGUUCAUCUACAACUAAAAAUUUAAAAAUUAAAACAAAUAACCUGAUCAAAAAUAAUAUUUUCAUUUUAUAUUUCUCUUUUUUUCCCCUAAGAAUUACAGAUUGCUUAAAGGCAAAUUAAUACGGUUAUGCCCAUAAGAACCCUGACGUUAUAGCUGAUUGCUCUGAUGAACGUAUGACGGGCACUAGAAGAUUGCCUCACUAAGUCUGCCGGCAAAAGGAAACUGCUCCUUAAAUCCAUUGAAAAGACUUUAUAUACUUUAAUUACAUCCAUGAAAGACCAUAAACUAAGGGUGGGAACCUCCAGUUCUUUAAUCUUAUUAUCACAGUCCAAGUGUUCCAUUGCUCUUGAAAACCACUUAUGACUUCUUAUGUUUCUAGUUAUAAUUGAUUUUUAAAGGUGUGUUCUUUGCCCAAAGACUUCUGACACUCAUAGAAAGAUAAAAAAGAAAUGUUUGGUUAUAACUAUUUAAACCAGAGGCAUUUUUAACUUUAUGUAUUUAUAAGACUUUUUUCAAUGUUUUUUUUUUGUUGUUGUUGUUUCAUUUUGUUUUCUGGUAUGGGGGAUUUGAACGAGGGGUACUCUAAUACUGAGUUUUUCUCUCCAGCCCUUUUUAUUUACUUAUGUAUUUUUGAGACAGGAUCUGGCUGAAUUGGCCUCAAACAUUCUCCCAAAUAGCUGGAAUUACAACAUGUGCCACCACACCCAACUUUUACAGUAUUUUGAUACUAUAUUUGAUUAUUUAGUUAUUGAAUUUAAAAUUUAGUGUUGCAAAAGAUCAUAGACAAUUAAUUUUUCAAAAACGUGCAAUUGAGAUAUCAUCUAAUUAUGUACCUUAAAUUAGGCUUCUAGCUAAUCAGACUUUGUUUUAUCAAAUCAUCCACAUUAGUUCACUGAAGUAUGGGACAAAAUAAGUAUGGAUGAGGAUUAUUUUACUUAUUUCAGUGUGGGACAUAAAUUAGUAGAAGAAAAGAAUUUUUAGAGGAGAGUAAGACAUAAAUAAAAAUAAGAAAUUGUUAUCUAGAGGAUGGUGAUCACAUUAGCUUAUAGUACCAAUAAGCGGAAUGGGGGAGUAAUGAGAUAGCAUAUGGGUGAAGAAGAAGCCAUAUAGAGACAACUAGUGAAGAUUCGAGGAAAUCCCAUUUUCUUGCCUAUGUAGAAGAGAGAACUUGGUAUCCCUUGUUUGGAAGCAUACUCAGGUACCCUCAAUCCUAAAAACAUGCCCCUUUACUAUAUUUCAGCUUAAGUCAAUUUUCUGCUUCUGCUCUUCCUUAUCCAUUUAAACAGCAAAUAUUUUUGAGCACCUGCCAUGUGACGGGUGCUUUUUUAGAUCUGGGAAUGCAGCAGAGAACAAAACAGACAUUAUCUUACCAAAUUCUUUAAAUUAUAAUCCAUAUUUUCUCUUUCCACAUUCACACCACUCUUUCAGUCUUUACCCCAUGGUAAAGUAGCUCUAAAGACCAGUCAUCUUACUAAGUCUAGUACCCCCCUUUUCUAAGUCUUCAUUCUCUUUGGGCUUGAUAGUACUUAAUUGCAUUUAACUCCCAUCAUUUUUUAAACCCUUGGCUCCUUUUGGUUAUGCAAUAUGGCACUAGCACAAUUUGUCUCCUAUUCCUGUUAUUGCUUCUUUCCUGAUUAAUUCUCUUGCCUCCUAAAUAUUGGUGGCCCCCCAGGUUCUACAUUCUUCUUGUUUCCACUUUCUCAAACAUUUUCCCUACAUGAUUUCUUAGAACUUAAUCAUGGGCUCUUCUAAAAGUCUCCUAAAUCUAUAUUCCCAGAUCCAACCCUCUCCUAAACUCUAAUCCCACAUUUCAAACUGUGUGCUGGAGGUUUCUGUUAGGGUAUCUGGUUUAUGACGUCAAGCACGAUCUGUUUGAAACAAGUGACAUUUGCACUCCUGCAUUCUCAACCGCAAAAAACAUAAACCAACCCUGGCUAACUCGAGCAGAAAAGGGAUUCUGAUGAACCCAGACUAAUUCCAUCUUAAGAUUGGGAGCCAUCUCUUCACAAAGACAUGAGGAGUUAAUUUCUGUUUAAUAUAAAUUACUGCGAUUUCUAAACUUGCUUGGAAUGCCUGCCUGUGCCUUGAACUCACCCAUGCCUGGCUUUCCCUGACCAGAUAACAACCCUCUCUGAAACCUUAAGGGCACCUCAUAAAUUCUGGUGUUGGAUCUAAAUUUAUUCCCUAACUUGAAAUGUUGGACCAUUUAGAUCAUUAACCUACUAUCUGCCUUUGUAUUAUUCUUGUCAAAAUUCUGUUAUGUGUAAGUUCUCAAGACACCUCCCUUUUCAACUUUCUGUGCUAUAAAACCAUGCUCCUAGAGAGUUGGGGGACUGUCCUCUAACCCACGGAUUUCAGGAGAGACAGUCCUGGCUGGUCGGAAUUACCAGCUUGCUUUAUUUUGAUUUCAAAUUGGAGUCAGUGGUCUUUUCUUUGCAUCUUGGUUUAACAAUUUACCAGGAGGAUAUUGAAUGGCCCACACAGUCAGCAGGAAGACCAGAGGACCAGGAAUGAAAAACUGGCAAAACCCAAGCAGUCGAGAGCACUGAGAGCAUGACCCAGUUCACCGGUAGGAGAAAGCUAAUGAGGAUGCUGCCAUAGAGCUUGCUGUUCCCAUUCUUACUGUUCCCUACAGCCACACACACGAUUGCUGCUGCUCUUGAGUUUCUUAACCCCUUUGUAGCUUGGCCACUGACUGCUAGGUUUGGUGUCAUCCCCCAACCCCAGAUUAAAUGAUCUAGUUUGGACUAUCUAAUGGCCCCAGGCACUAAAAAUGACAUCUGAUUCCCUUUAGCUUCCUGCUGUCACUCUAUGUAUUUUUCUCCAUUUACCUCAUUUCUUUAGCUUCCCAUUAUCAUUUAAUGUUACCAUCAAUGUCUUUAUCAGCAGGAGCUGAACCUGGACAACCUCUUGGACCCCUUCGUCUUUCUCAGUGAUGGAGGUAAUCAGUCACUCAGGUCUGCUAAGGUUCUGUUUAUUGUUCAUUUGUUGUUUCCCUUCACAAUAUUUUCUUCUUGGAUCUCUCUGUAACUGCCAAACUGCCGUGACCAUCUCUUAAUUGAAAUUCCCACAUCUAGUACCUUGUCCACUUUAUCCACCCAAAGAUUAAUCUACCUAAAGCAACACUUUGAUCUUUUUUUGAUGCUUUUGUUGAUAAAACUGCAUCCUUGAUAGAAACAUGAGCCUGGCAUUUAAGGAUUUCCACAGUAGAACCUCACUGAGACCCAAAGGCUAACUGGUGCCCUGAAAAGAGCUUGACCUUCAGGUACAGUCUGCUGUGGAUUCAAACCUUCAUUUUUUCCAUUUUUUAGUUAUAUAUUCUUUAGGCUUAUUCUCCAGGUCUGCAAUGUGGGGAUAAUAAAAUCCCCUCUUUAGGAUAUUUGUAAGUAAUCACUUUGAAAGUUGAAAUGGUGUUAUAAGUUGUGUUUAGGUUGCAACAUCAACCCACAGAUUCUUAUAAUGAACAAUAUUCAAUUUCAGACCUGUCUGGUUUGAACCUUAAGAAAGCUUGUCAUCACUGUGGUUUUAACACAGGCAGGUUAGGAUCAGUAUGCUACAUGUUUUGGGGGGCUAAGUGGCAAUCUAACUAUCAUGUAUAGUAUUGUUCCCAAUUUCAAAUAGCUGACUUACAAAUGACCUUUUGAAAAUAUUUUAUUUGCAAGCAGAGAACUUCCUAUGUUAUUAAUUUUGAGAAUUAAAUUUCCCUGAUUGGCUGCUUUCCACUCUAACAUUGUUAUUAAAAAGGAUUUCCUUGCAGAAUUUCAUUUUUGUAAGAGUCUGCUAUGAAUUCCUCAUGGGGAUAAAGUAUAUCUUUAUGAUGAACACAUGAAAAUUAUUAGCUAUUAUCUCUAAGGCUUGCCCAACAUCUAGUAAAUGUGGUGAAACUUGAACACAUUAAAAAGACAUUUUAAAGUUGGUUCUGUAAUCUUGACAAGUCUAAACCCUUCAUGGCAUAAAUUUUGGGUCAGGACAAGGAGAAUUUAGCUCCAUAGUCCAGCCAGUUCUCUUCUUUCUGCUAAGCAUAGAUGACAAUGCUAGAGGUCCUCAAAUUAACCUUGGUUGGUAUCCACUCUCUUGUGCAUCCCUGCAUCAGAUUCCCUAAAUGAGGCAUGGCUGGUGAUCUCACAGGGUAGAUUUCAGUCUCAUACACUCUCACCAAGAAUUUACAGCAAUACUAAUUGAUUCUUUUCUGAAGUAAGAAGUCUGGAAAGUCUUAGGUGAGAGAUAACAAUCGUGCCAAGAUUGG